rnacentral:lncRNA from 1 species
UGGCAGCAAGCGUGGGAGCAGUGGAGGCACUCAAGGAUCAGGGCUUCUGCAGAUGGAAUUACACUAUGAGGUCUAUUCACCAGCAUGCCAGGAACAGCCUCAGGUCUUUUUCUCAGGUCAAGAAGCUCUCUUCCUCUUCCGCCAUGGUUUCUAGCAGAGUGAGAGACGAGAAAGCAAAGCAAUCAGAGGAGUCUCUGAGGACUGUCAUGUACCUGAGCUGCUGGGGACCCAACUGAGGAAGCAGAUCUGGAUAUGAAGAUGAUGAUCAUCCUACCACUGAAUCUUCCAUGGAGGGCAUAUCCCAAGAAAGUGAUAAGAACAAUCUUAGGCCCCUCUCUCAAGCUAGGAGCCUCUCUUCUUCUUCUUCCUAUAAGAUGGGUGUGAAGAGUAGUGGGGAAGAUGAGAAAAGGAAGAAGAAGACACAGAAAACAUUGGGGAAAGUCAUGCACUAGAGCUCCUGGGUCCCCAGUGGAGCAAUGGAUACAGAUUUUGCGGUGCAAUAUAAGAGUAAAAAUUUUGUAGACAACUGCAGAAAGAUGUGAUGAUCUUCAUGCGUACUUCAAAAAAAUGAAAUCAGAUAUCAGAUUUAUUAUCAUAAUAUUGUGUUGCCUUUUAUCAUUUUUUGCCAUGGGAUCACUAUCUUUGUUGGUUUUGAUUGAAUUUGAGCUUUAGCAGAUGGAGCAAUCAAGAGUUUGAAGCAAAAAGCACUUAAGAUCCACCUUCAGUGCAAUAUAUUUUGUUUUGAAUUGAUUGUGCAGGCAUUGUUCACCCCACAAUCCCUUCCUCCUCUCAGUCAAACUCAUAACUAUGGCUUGGCUCUAAUUUCAAUUCUCAAACAUCUUAACUGAAAAUCAUACUGAUGACUAAUAACAAUAAGUUCAACCUUUUAUGGCCUUUUUUUUUUUUCGGAGUGAUUGUUUGCGUGAUUCAUUUCAGACUUAAAAGAAUGAUGUUAUUGUGCCUAUACACAAAUUUUAUACUCAUGGUUUUAAUAGAAUCCCGUUCACUAUGUGAAAUUAAUAGUUUAAUAUAAUAUUAGAGUUUUAAUAUAUAGUAUUAUUUUAUAUUUUGAAAUUAGUAUUUUAAUAUAAUAUUAAAAUUUGUUCAGAUUUUCUGUUCGUUUUCUUGUUUAUUAAUCUUAUGGUUGGGUUUGAAAAAUGGAAAAUUUGAGAAAAAAAAAUGUGAGAAAAAAUUGAAAAAUAUACUUAAAAUUAAUAAAUUAUUUUUAGAUGCUUCAUUAAAUUUAUUAUAUUUUUAUAAAUUAUAAUUACAUUGAAUAAUUUAAAAAUAUAAAUUUUUUAAAUUAAUUUUAAUGACUUUUUUUUCCUUCUUUAAAAUUUUCAUGAUAAACUAGAAAUUGUAAAAUCAUUUGUGUUUUUUUCACCCUAUGUUGGACUUUUCCGGCCAAAUAUAGCUUAACUUUAGGGUUGUAAUUUGGACAAGUUGAUCGGCCUGAUCAUUGAUGGUCAAUCCAGACUCAAUCCAACCUUAUUUUUAAAAAAUAAAGUUAGUUAGUGGAGUUAAACUCAAAUUGAUUAGAUUAAACUUUAUAUUAAAACUUGGAUUGAUUAGGUUAAAUUUUAUGUUAAAAUUUGGAUUGAUUGGUUUAAAUUUCACCUUAAAAUUUGGAUUGAUUGGGUUAAACUUGAGUUGAUCCAAUUGAUUGAUUGUGUUGUAUAAUUCAAAAUUCAUUAAUAAUAGUUUUUUUUUUAAUUUUAUACAUUUAUACCAAAAUUUAGUUAGUAAUAAGACAAAAUUUCAAACAAUAAUAAUAAUAAUAAUAAUAAUAAUAAUAAUAAUAAACUCAUUUUUUUUUUCAAAAAAUGAAAAAAAUAUACUAAAUGAUCACAAUUUAAUAUUUUUCUUUAAAAUUUUAAAAAUAAAUAAAUAUUAUUAUAUUAGAUAAUAAAUAUUAUAAAAACAUUAAAUUUGGUUUGACUCGGAUUAUAGCCUAAAUCUAAUUCAAAUUGAAUUUUGGUUGUGAAAAAACUUAACCCAACCAAAUAUUGGAUUAAGUUGGGUCAACCCGUCAAAGUUAUACCCGUGACUUGUUUGGGCAUCUCACAGAAUUUAGUCAAACAGCUGAAAAUUAAUGGACUCCAGUGGGCAGAGUAAGUAAAGCAAAUUGUUUUGGAUUGCCGCAUUGUCACUUCUGAAACCAGCGGUUUCAGUCCUUUCACCCUUUUAGCAGGAAAACAGGGGGCACACCUCCUGGCAACUGCGACCAUAAUAACACUUAGUCGGGAAUAAAAAUGUAGCUGAAAAACCAAUCAUGCCCAAAUGUAACCUACUUUAGCAUUACAAAUCUAAGGACAAAGUAGUCAUUCCAAUUCAAACCAAACAAACCCAUGAAUACUGCUGGCCACAGCCUCUGGUUUUUGCCAAACGUUGGGCACCAAAUCCAAACCCAUCUAUUGCUAUAUAACCAACCCAUCUUCACUUCAUCUUCUUCAUCACAACACAAACACUUUGAUUUACAGAGAGAUCUUCUAUAUCCUAUUCACUACUCAGAAUCAGUUCUUUUUAUUGUUGAUUGUUGUUUGAGUUUUGGAGAGAGAAUUAAGAUGAGUCAUAUGGGGAAAGCUUGGAUAGUGGCAGCAAGUGUGGGAGCAGUGGAGGCACUCAAGGACCAGGGCUUCUGCAGAUGGAAUUACACUCUGAGGUCUAUUCACCAGCAUGCCAAGAACAACCUCAGGUCCUUUUCUCAGGCCAAGAAGCUCUCUUCUUCCUCUUCCGCCAUGGUUUCUAGCAGAGUGAGAGACGAGAAGGCCAAGCAAUCAGAGGAGUCUCUGAGGACCGUCAUGUACUUGAGCUGCUGGGGACCCAACUGAGGAAGAAGAUAUGAAGAUGGAUGAUCACCAGCAUACUAGUGAAGCAUCGAUGGAGGGCAUAUUCCAAGAAAGUGAUACGAACAACUUAGUUCCCUCUUUCAAGCUAAGAGCCUCUCUUCUUCUUCUCCUCCUUAUUCUUAUAAGAUGGAGGUGAAUAGUGGCGGAGAAGGUGAGAAAAGGAAGAAGACACAGAAAGUAAUGGGGAAAGUCGUGGGCUUGAGCUCCUGCGGUCCCAGUGAAGCAAUGGAUAGAGAUUUUGAGGUGUAACAUAAGAGUAAACAUUUUGUAGAGAUCUGCAGAUAGAUAAGAUGAUUUUAAUGUGUACUUAAAAAAAUGAAAUAAGAUUUCAGAUUUAUCAUCAUAAUAUUUGUGCCAUGGGACUAUCUUGGUUAGUUUUUUAGAGGGUUAAAAACUAAUUCUACUUUGGAAGAAAGGAAUCACCUUCAAAUUAAGCCAUCUUUCGAGCAGUUUGGAAAAACCCUUAUCUAAUAAAGACCUCUAUAAAGUACAAAAAGGUUGUGCUUUUACCAUAAAAAAGGUUGUUUCAAGCCCGAGAACAUCAGAAAUCAUCAUGCCAAGGUUGAUAGAGUUGCUAACAUACAGAUAAGAAAUUUUACCCAAAAAAAUAAAAUAAAAAAAUUAAAGCUUUGUCUUGAAAAGUCUCUCAAAUUCAGAUUCAUUUUUGGAAGAAGAAUAAGAGAUAUCUAAGUGAAGUGAGGGGUUCGUGGACAGGAAAUUUAAGAUAUUUUAAUAAUCCAAUAGUUUUAUUUGAUUUUUAUCAUAGUAUAAUAAAAUAAUUCUCUUUUAUUUGUGGAUGUAAGUUAAUCAAAACAUGUUAAGAUCUCGUGUAUUUUUGUGUGAAUUAUUUUAUUUUUACAUUCUAAAAUUAAUAUUUUUGUAUUAAAGCUUACAUUGAUACCAAAGCUAUGUUGAAGAUUUGUAAAAGAACAAAAAAAAAAAAAAAAAUAGUACACAAAAAAAAUGAUAAAAUGAAUUUUAAUUGAAAGUGAAGUUGAUUGUUUCCAAAACAUGAUACAAAAAAUAUGUUAUGAAAAGAUGAAAAAUUAACUUAAUGGAAUUUGAUGUCGAGAUUGUUCAAGAGUGCCUUAAAUUCUUAUUAAUAUUGAUUGAUUUUUAUAAGGAAUAUUGUAUAUAAUAUAUUUUAAGUUAAUAUAUUAUUAUAAUAUUAGAUUUCUUUAUUCAGUAAAGAAAGUUAUUAAAAAUAUUUUUAUAAAUAUUUUAAAUCUUAUAAGAUGAAGAUUAACUUGUAAAAAUUAUAUGAGAUGGAUAAAGAUGUAUAAAAAAAAUGAAAGAUAUCUUGAAUGAUGUAGUGAAAUGAUUCUCUCAUUCGCAUAUAUAGGCAUGAUUCAUCGAAUCAUAUUAAAACCUCAUGUAUUUUCCGGUGGAUUGUUUUAUUUUUAUGUUUUUAAACCAAUAUGUUUGUGUUAAGAUUUUCCCUUACCCAACACCUUCAACCCUCUCUUUUAUUUAUUUUUUUCAUUAUAUUUAUAAAGAGGUUUAUCCAAAGAUCUCAAUCCCUUGUCCUCAUCUUACCGUCUUUGAUCUAUCCGAGGAAUUUUAGUUUCUUUGGUAAUGAUUAAUUUUGAAUCUUACAAAACAAAACAAUCAAAAGUUUGAAACAAAGCAAGAUGCAUCAUUUAGACAAUUGGUUCAAAGGCUUCAUGAUAGACGUUACAUCCCAACAGUCAUUUAUGCUCUUAUAAGUCAAAUUCAUAAUCCAAUGUAUUAUUAGUUCAUUAUGUGAAAUUAAUAACUCAGCUAACAUUAGAGGUUUCAUAAAACACUAGAAUUUGUUCACAUUUUUGUUAGGUGAGCUCACAGAAUUCAAGUCCAAUUGGCAACUACUCCAAAAGUGAAUGUUAUUGAACUCCAAUAAGCAACUUGUUUUAGACUGCCGCAUUGUGGCUUUGGAAACCAGCGGUUUCACUCCUUUCACUCCUUUAGCAGGAAAACAGGGGACACAUCUUUGGCAGCUGCCACCAUGAUAAUUCUUAGUAGGGACCACACAAGUGGGUGAAAACCCAAUCAUACCCACAUCUAACUCCCCUUAGCAUUACAAAUCCAAGGACAAAGUAGUCAUUCCAAUUCAAACCAAACAAACCCAUGAAUACUGCUGGCCACAGCCUCUGGUUUUUUCCUAAAGUUUGGGCACCAAAUCCAAACCCAUCUCUUUUCUAUAAAACCAACCCACCUUCACUUCUUCUUCUUCAUCACAACACAAACACUUUGAUCUACAGAGAGAUCUUCAAAAUCCCAUUCACUACUCAAAUCGGUUCUUUUUAUUGUUGAUUGUUGUUUGAGUUUGGAGAAAGAAAAUUAAGAAGAUGAGUCAUAUGAGGAAAGCUUGGAUAGUGGCAGCAAGUGUGGGAGCAGUGGAGGCACUCAAGGACCAGGGCUUCUGCAGAUGGAAUUACACUAUGAGGUCUAUUCACCAGCAUGCCAAGAACAACCUCAGGUCCUUUUCUCAGGCCAAGAAGCUCUCUUCUUCCUCUUCUGCCAUGGUUUCUAGCAGAGUGAGAGAUGAGAAGGCAAAGCAGUCAGAGGAGUCUCUGAGGACUGUCAUGUACUUGAGCUGCUGGGGACCCAACUGAGGAAGAAGAUAUGAAGAUGGAUGAUCACCAGCCUACAGCGAAGCAUCCAUGGAGGGCAUAUUCCAAGAAAGUGAUAACUCAUAAGUGGAGUGGAGAUCAGUUUCAUGGAAUUUUUCCUAGAAGACAAACAAGGUGGAAAUCCAGAAAUUAAUUAGAACCAACUGCUAAUAGUUGGCGUCUCUGAGUUAGGAAUUUGUUAGCAAAAGGCAGCUUUGGUAUAUAUACUAAUAUACGAGAUGAUUUCAAUGUAUAUUUGAAAUAGAAAUUAGAUUUAUUAUCAAAACGAUUGCGUUGUCUCGUCUUUUAUAUUUUCCAGAUCCAAACAGAUCCUAAAGGCCCUAAAAUUUUUGUUGUAUCAUUUUUAUGCUAAAAAAUUACACAUAGAAAAAUUAACUAAAUCAUAAGUAGCUUCUAACCAUGAAUUGUUUUUUUUUUUUUAAGCCUAUAAAUUUUAUGCUUUAGAUACAUGCAUUAAAAAUCUAUCUAAACCAUAUAUAAUUAUUUUAAUGCAGUUAUAUAACUGAUAAAAAUAGAAAUAAAUUUAAUAAAUAUAAAAUAAUAAAAUAUUAGGAUAAGUAUUGAAGAUCAAUUUUCAGUCUUCAAACUUAAUCGAACUUGAAAGUGGAUGGCGAUGGAUACAAUGAUUUGAGCCAGGUCUUAAAUCUUUAACUUAAUGGAGCAAUUAUUGUAAUCUACUUAAUAAUUGGUCAGUAUAAAAUUAAAUAAUAAUAAAAGGAGAAAGAAAAGGACACGUGUUUGACGUGGACGUUGCCAAAACAGCGGUUUCAGACAGGCCUUUUACUGCCCGAGCGCCAGUGGAUUAACAAAGAAAACAAUGAGCACAUCAGUGGAAGCGGCACCAGCUACCAAGUAUGCAGCUGAAAUGCCCCUUGGAAUUACAAAUCGAAGGACAAAAGAGUCAUUCCAGACCAACCCAGAAAUACAGCUGACCCCUGCCUCUGGUUUUUCCCCAAACCUUGUGCCUUUCUCUAUCUAUAUAAUCCAGCCCACCUUCUCUCCAUCUUCUUCAUCGCAACACAAACGCUUUGAUUUACUGAGAGAUCUUCCAUAUCAAUUCACUACUGAGAUUGUUGUUUGGGCUUUGAGUUCUUGGGAAAGAAAGUUAAGAAGAUGAGUCAUAUGAGGAAAGCUUGGGUGGUGGCAGCAAGCGUGGGAGCAGUGGAGGCACUCAAGGAUCAGGGCUUCUGCAGAUGGAACUACACUCUGAGGUCUAUUCACCAGCAUGCCAAGAACAACCUCAGGUCCUUUUCUCAGGCCAGGAAGCUCUCUUCUUCCUCUUCUGCAAUGGUUUCUAGCAGAAUGAGAGACGAGAAGGCAAAGCAGUCAGAGGAGUCUCUGAGGACUGUCAUGUACCUGAGCUGCUGGGGACCCAACUGAGACGUUCCACAUUUCGAGUGAUCAAGAAGAAGAUGAUGAUGACGAAAGAUUCAUGGAGGGAGCAUGUGAAGGAAGUCAUGAGAAGGGGAGAUGAAAACCAUUAAUGGAGAAGAGAGAUCCAUCUGUGGAUGAAGGCAGUGGAAAUUUGGAGCCGAGUGAGUCAUGGGUAAUGGUUCUUAUGAGUUGGGAAAUUAUCAGCAAAGUGCUUUCUCAACCUCAGAUGCUUUGGGAGGAAUGGGAAUUUACCAGAAAAUUGCAAGUACAUAUGUAUGAUGCUUUUUAUGCAUAAUUUGUCCGAAAGCAAUAAUAAUCAGAUUAAUUUUCAGCUAUACUUCUUCUGAGAUAUGGAAUUUGUUGGUUCUGAUUUAAUUUCAAUGAAAUUGAUUAUUUUGUAAUUCUAAAGAAAAUUGGAUUAUUCUGUAAAUUCUAUUAUUUUAUUGUUGUAUAAAGGUAAAUUCUUCUAUCAUUUGUUUUGAUAUAUUCAAAAUUAGACACAGAAAUUAAAAAAAAAAAAAAAAAAUCCACUAUUCCAAGCCAACCCGCAGCCCAAGCUGACGGGUGCAUCCAACCAGGUAGCCAUGUUCAGGGAAAACAGCGGUUUCACCCACAUUUUUACUCCUUGCGCAAUGGAAAAAAAAAAAGAAAAGCGAUUAAAGCCCAAAAUGCCCAUGUAUCUCUUCAUUUGCCAUUAGAAGUAUAUGCACAAAACAGUCAUUCCAUCCACCCCUCACCAACCCAAAAAUCCUGGUAACCACAGCCUCUGGUUUUCCCCCACACCUAUGUCUUUUAAACAAUGGGCACACUACUGCCGACUGCCCCUACGCUUACUGCUUACAUUAGUUGAGGAUGAGUGAUGGGGCCAAGGCCAACUAUGUAGGUGAAUUCCCAAUUAUACCCACCUGAAUCCGCCCUCAAUCUGACCAAUCCGAGGACAAACGUAAUAAUCAUUCCAAUUCAGAUCAAGCAAACCCAUGAAAACUGCUGGCCACAGCCUCUGGUUUUUUCCCAAACUUUGGGCACCCGAUCCAAACCUAUCUCUUUCUAUAAAACCAACCCACCUUCACCUCAUCUUCUUCAUCACAACACAAAACACUGGAUUUACAGAGAGAUCUUCAAUAUCCAUUCACUACCCAGAAUCAGGUCUUUUUAUUGUUGAUUGUUGAUUGAGUUUUGGAGAAAGAAAAUUAAGGAGAUGAGUCAUAUGGGGAAAGCCUGGAUAGUGGCAACAAGCAUGGGAGCAGUUGAGGCAUUGAAGGAUCAGGGCUUCUGCAGAUGGAAUUACACUAUGAGGUCACUUCACCAGCAUGCCAAGAACAACCUCAGGUCCUUUUCUCAAGCCAAGAAGCUCUCUUCUUCCUCUUCUGCCAUGGCUUCUAGCAGAGUGAGAGAAGACAAGGCAAAGAAAUCAGAGGAGUCCUUGAGGGCUGUCAUGUACUUGAGCUGUUGGGGACCCAACUGAGACCCACCAAAAAUUAGUAGAGAGUUGUAAACAUGUAUGAUGAUUUUUUUAUGUAUUUUUUUGAAAAAAAAUCAGAUUAGGUAUCAGAAAUUCAGAAUGAUUGUUUUUUGCACUUUGUUUUUACAUGCCAUGGGAUUUGGAGUUGGUUAGUUUUGACUGAGCAUGAAAGGCAGGCCAGGGUUUUAAAGAAUUGAAUCAUUCACUGGAGAUGGAAUCUCUCUCAGAGAAAUCCUUAUUCUCUACAACCUUGGCAAAUGGCAAGCCACUAAGAGGGAAAACACAAAAAAUAAAAAUAAAAUAAAAUAAUAAUAAUUGUAGAGGAGAUAUUUGCCAAUAUAUAAAACUUAUAUUUUUGUAUUAUUAUUGAAUAAAUUAGAUUUUAUCAUACACUUAAAUAAUGGAGAUACAAAUUCAAUAUAAUACUUUUUUUUUGGUUAAUUUUAAAAGGUUUCUAAGGAAAUUAAGUCUUAAUCAAACAACUUUUAUUGAUCUUUUACAAUAUGAAUUUAUCUCUUUAAAAUAAUUUUAAUUUAGCAUUUAAAAUUUUCCGUUGAACUUUUUCACCAAAUGAGAAGUAAAAACGUAACAGAGGAAUGCAGGACUUUAAAGUGAAGUUGUCUUUUUUUGAACAAGCUAACUUUAAGUCUCGUUUUUUAAGAGAACUUUUCAUAGAAUUUGAAUUAUUUAUUUAACGAUAAAUUUUCAUGAUUUUUUUUUUAAAUUUACACCAUUUUGAAAGGGAAACUUGUAUUUUGAUGGAGCAAUUUGGAAAAUAUAUGAUUUUUGGAAUCCAACUUCACGAAAUCUGAAAACUAACUUUUAAUGUGAAAAAUUAUAUAUUUUUCAUGCACUCUAAGUCGGUUGCAUAUUUUUGUGCUAAGAUUAUUUUUAGGUUUAGUGAUUUUCCAAAAUUAUCCUUUUUGUUUUUUUUUUUUUUCUCUUGUACCCAUCAUCUGCCUCUCCCUCCCUCCCCAGUGAAAUUGGUUGGUAUUUUGCCGACGUCAUCACCAACCGCCACCCACACUUCUCUCCCGUUGGCAAUCUCCUCCUUUCUCCAUUUCCUUCCCUCUUUCUCUCUCUCUUUCAUUCCCUUUCGACAUCACCAAGAGAGAAGAAGGCGGUGGCAAUGGUGGAGAACCGGGGUUGGAGGGAAGAAGGUGCGACUGGUUGCCAUUGACGGUGGCAACCAGUAACUCUCGCAGUCAUUGACAACGGUGGUGGUGGAAGCACCUAAGUGGGGAGAGACGUCAAGGAGAGGUGGGAGGGAGGCGGACGAGGGGACCACGUCUUUCCCUACGCUGGUGCUUUCGCCGUCGCCACUGUCAAUAAUCGUGAGAGUUGUUGGUUGCUGUUUGUCGCGCCUUCUUCCCUCUAGCCCUGGUUCUCCACCAUUGCCACUGCCCUCUUCUCUCUUGAUGAUGUCGAAAGGAAAUGAAAGAGAUAAAGAAAGAGGGAAGGGAAUCGGAGAGGGGGAAAUUAAUGAUCGGAGAAAUGUGUGAGUGACGGCCGAUUUCACAAGGGAGGGAGGAAGAGGCGGAUGGUGGUGGGUAUAGGAGGAAAAUAAACAAAAAGGAUCACUUUGGAAAAUCACUAAAUCCAAAGGUAAUCUCGACACAAAAUAUGUAGCCGGUUCAGAGUGCAUGAAAAAUAUAUAAUUUUCCAUAUUGAAAAUUGAAUUUUAGAUUUCAUAAAGUUGGAUUCUAAAAACCAUAUAUUUCUUAAAUUUCCUCAUCAAAACAUAAGUCUGCAUUUUGAAAAGGAAAAACCCAAUGAAAUAUGUUCGUACUUCGUAUAGACCGUGGAGUGGGGUGUGAAAAAAACAAAGAAAUAGACACGUGCUUGAAAUCCGGCCGUGCACAUUACCCCAUUGGAAAACAGCGGUUUCAUCCUCCUUACUCUUUGAGCGUUGAGUGGAUUCACAAACAAAACAAUGGGCACGUACUGCGGACUGCCCCACACCAACACUGAGGGCCAACUAUGUAGGUGAAUACCCAAUUAUACCUACAUGAAUCAGCCGUCAAUCUUACAAAUCCAAGGGCAAAGUAGUCAUUCCAAUUCAAACCAAACCAAGCCAUGAUUCAUGAAAACUGCUGGCCACAGCUCCCGGUUUUUCCCUAACUUUGGGCACCAAAUCCAACCCAUCUCUUGCUAUAUAACCAACCCACCUUCACUUCAUCUUCUUCAUCACAACACAACUACCUUGAUUUACAGAGAGAUCUUCUAUAUCCAUUCACUACUCAGAAUCACCUCUUUCUAUUGUUGAUUGUUGUUUGGGUUUCGGAGAAAGAAAAUUAAGAUGAGUCAUAUGGGGAAAGCUUGGUUAGUGGCAGCAAGUGUGGGAGCAGUGGAGGCACUCAAGGAUCAGGGCUUCUGCAGAUGGAACUACACUCUGAGGUCUAUUCACCAGCAUGCCAAGACCAACCUCAGGUCCUUUGCUCAGGCCAAGAAGCUCUCUUCUUCCUCUUCUGCCAUGGUUUCCAGCAGAGUGAGGGAGGAGAAGGCCAAGCAGUCAGAGGAGUCUCUGAGGACUGUCAUGUACUUGAGCUGCUGGGGACCCAACUGAAGAAGAAGAUAUGAAGAUGGAUGAUCAUCAGCCUGCACUUGAAGCAUCCAGAGAGGGCAUAUUCCAAGAAAGUUAUGGAAAAUUAAGAUGAAGAAACUGCAGUGAAGCAAUUUCAUGGAAUUUUUGCUUGGAGACUCCCGAAUUACAACCAAUUGCUCAGGGUUGGGAAAAUUGGAAUUGCUGUAAAUUGUGACUGGUUCUUUGUAAAACCCAAAUCAUUUAGCUAGAAAUUGAAAAUACAUUUUAAUUUAAUUUAUAGUUUCUCUGUUAGAAUAUUAGACCCAAUUCCUAAAAAGCUUGUCAGUCUUGUAUUAGACCCAAGCUCAAGCGCAUUAAGAAAAAAUAUGGCAGAUUUGGUCACAUAGGGGAUGAAGAGGUGAUAAAGUAGAUACAACGCCCAAAAUUAAACUCUCAAUCAAUUUAAUUGAACAAAUAAUCAUAAAAGAGAUUUUUUAAAUUUAUGAUUUUUGAAAAAGAAAAUUCCAGUGAAAUAUGUUCAUGUAGACUGUGUGGUAGGAUGAAGACUAAACAAAGAAAUGGACACGUGGUUGAAGUCCGGCCCUACACAUUGCCCCAUUGGAAAACAGUGGUUUCAUCCUCCGUACUCUUUGGGCGUUAAGUGGGUUCACAAACCAAACAAUGGGCUGCCUUAACGUGGUGUUUAUUUUUUUACUUAAUUCUAAAUAGAAUCUUAAUAUUUAAUCGUAUUAAAUAUUAGAUUAUUUAUUUUUUAGUAUUUUAUUUUUAUUAAGUAUUAAAAAGUAAAAAAAAUCAUUGUGUUAUUUUUUCUAUUUAGAAAAAAUUAUAUAUUUUGAUUUUUUCUAUUUAGUAAAAAGUUUAUAAUAAGUCAUUAAAAAGUAAAAAAACAAACCAUCUAAAUUCUAAAACUAAAUGAUUUUUAGCAAAAAGCCAAAAAAACAAACACCACUUUAGACUGAGGACAAACUAUGUAGGUGAAUAUCCCAUUAUACCUACAUGAAUCAGUGGUCAAUCUUACAAAUCUAAGGACAGAGUAGUAAUUCCAAUUCAAACCAAACAAAGCUAUGAGAACUGCUGGCCACAGCCUCUGGUUUCCCCAAAACUUUGGGCAGUAUUCCUCAAAGAAUCAAGUGGGCUAGAUUUAACAACUUCGUCCACCAUGGUUAGAUUAUUGGGGGCUAGAGUAAAUAACUUCAUCCACCAUGGUUAGAUUAUUGGUAUCUCGAUGGGAGAAGUUGUUUUGAUGGAAAAACAUUGUAUUUUAUUAUUUUGUAAAUUUUAUCAUCACUCAUAUAUAUUAUUUUUUAUUUAAAAUUAAAUAAAAAAUUAAAAUUCUUAGAAAAUACGAAAAGAAAGUAUAUCACAAUCUUUAUUUUCUAUUCUAAAAUUAAAAAAUAAAAAUAAAAUUAUGAAGAAAAAAGUACAUUCCAACUUACAUUAAUUAAGGGAUGAUAUACUCUGCAAAUAAAAAAUAUAAAAAAUAAUUAAAGGUUAAAUAAAUCACUUAAUAAAUCGGUAGUAGGGGUUGAUGGUUUCAUUAUUAGACUAUAACAAGGAUUUUCAUUUUCAUUUUCUUUUUAAAUGCAUUUCAUGGUGGUGUAGAAUUUUUUUGUAUAAGGGUUUUUAAAUUGUAAUAUAGAUUAUAUAUAUAGUUGUGUUUUGUCCUAAAUUCUGACUUCCAAGUUUUCAACAUUAUAUAAAAAUCCCUAAAAUCACCUACUUCGUACGUUUUCUAACAUUAUAUAAAAAGCCCUGAAUUCACCUAUUAGAAAAAUGUUAUUUGGUGCGCUAUCAUUACCAUGACCUCAACCUCGUGCAAAGAUAUCGAGUGGUUACUAAUAGUAAAAAAUAAAUAAUAAAAACAAAAUAUAUUCAUUAUUAUUAUUAUUAUUAUUUUGUACUUUUACCAUCCAUUAUUCACAUCUUAGCAUAUGAUAGAAAAGAUGAUAAAAGAUUAUUUAUGUUGUAUGAUUUUAAGUGAAAUGAUCAAAAUAUUUAAAGAAAAAAUUAAUAAUUCAUGAAGAAUUUUUGGUAAAUUUAUAAAUUUGUAAUAAAUAUUGAUAAAUGAUAAACAAAGUAGUUUUUAAAGUGGUUGCAGUAGUUAAACAUUGUAUCUUAUUAUGAUUUUCCACCUUCAAAACUUAAUAAUAAAAUUUCAUAACAAAUUUUUAUCUAUUUGAAACUUUUGAAAUGUGGAAUCUUUUCUUGGACAUUUUUAUAUAUACAUUUGUGAAUUUUAUCUUUAUUUUUUAUUUAUAAAAUUAAAGGAUAAAAUUAAAAUGUUAAAAAUAAAAGAGAAGUAUAUCCCAACUUGCAUCAAUUAAGAGAAGAUAUAUAAAGCACAUGAAGAAUGCAAAAAAAAUUAAUGAUAAAAUAAAUCACUUAUUAGAUAGUAUUUAAUGAUUUACAUUAUUAGAUUGUAGAAAUGAGUUAUAUUUUUAUUUUUGUGUAUAGGGGAUUUUAAAUUAUAAUAUAUAUUUUUAUUUUUGAGUUAGUUUUCUUUGUUGAUACAUAGUUUUUUUUUUGUCUUGGAUAUUGUGUUAUCAGCAGUUUUAAAAGAAAUAAAAAUUAUUUAUCCCACAUCGAUUCAAAACUAAAAAUAUUAUAUAUAUUUAUUAAAACUUUGAUACCCUUAAAAAAUACAAGUACAACCAAUAAGCAAGCAUAGGGAUGACAACGGGGCGGGUAUGGGACAUGCCACCCCUACCCCAUUUCCAUCCCGGUUAUAUAUUUUUUUGCCCAUCCCUGUCCCAAACUCGGGGCGGGGCGAGUUGGUGUCCCCCUUACCUGUUUACAAAAGAGCUGAUAAUCUCAUCCCCAUCCCAAAUGUAUUUUCGGGAAUUAUGCUUUUACAAAACAUGGGUCUCUGAAAUUUCAAUAAACGUUAUAUGGGUUAUCAUAAACACAUUUAAUCAAGCAUUUGUUGUGCAACAAAACUACAAACUGCACAUAUGAGAACAAAAUGCACAGAUCUACAAAUAAACAACCCAAAAAAUCUCAAAUCCAUAAACCAAAACCAGAAAAAUAUGAAAAACAAGACAUUCUAACAAAGCCUCAAAACUUAGGGUUUUCUUACCUGGAAAUGAGGAAUCCAUAGAAACCCUAAUAAUUUGUUGUCUACGAAUUUGGUUUUUGGUUUUUAGAGCAAAAAUUGUGCUUUUAGGGUGAAAUGGGAAGAAGCAAUUUAGGAAUAAAUGAGAAAACGGGAAGAAAUGAGAAAACGAAAGGCCUUUUACGAGCAAAAGAACCCUGAGCAAUUUAGGAAGAAAUGAGAAAACGGGAAGAAAUGAGAGCGAAAGCCCUCUAACUCUCUCAUGAGCAAAAUAACCCUAAAACUUGAGGAAGAAAUGAUUAUAUGUGUAGGACUUUUUGGGUAUUUUGUAAUGACAUAAGGGUAAAUUGGUAAUUCACAUACGGGGCGGGGCAGAAACUGCAAAACCCAUCCCUGCCUUAAACCCAAUUCGGGUUUUUAUAUAUUCCCCAAACCCUUUUUAUACCCGAAUAGGAUAUUCUCAUACCCGUCCCAAUAGGGACGGGGCGGGUGACCCGAAUUACCCGGAAAAUUGUCAUUCCUAAGCAAGCAUUGAGCUAAAUCCUAAUCUCACAUUCCUACUUGAAACUUUACACUCACAUAAAAACAACUCACCACUUGACUCGAGGGACUAUUCCGUAACUUCUCACUACCAACAACCAGGCACUAUUCAACCUCUCGCUCACUUAUAAAUUCACUCCCUACCUGCAUAUUCAAAACGUAUCUCACUACUAUUCUACUCUACUAUUCUACUUUUCGUGGUUUCAUAUCUCACUAUUAUUCCACUUUUCGCGGUUUCAUAUCUCACUACUAUUCGCGUGUUCAAAGUGUAUCCCUCCCUGAAUUAAUUGUGAAUUAAUUUAGGCUUCAAAGUGUGUUGCUCUACAAUAUCCCUCCCAGUCAGGCCUCAAAGUAAGAACAACAACAUCUACAAUAUCUGCCAUGGCCACACAACCAAGGCAUGCGGUAUGCCGCAUUUUCUCAUGUCCUUUUCCCAUUUUGUUCCCUCUUUUCAUCUCCAUUUUGUUUUCAAUAUCCCCUUACCUUACUCAUAUUCUCUAAAAUUAGAUAAAAUUAUUAAUUUGAUCAUAUUUAUCUAACAUUUUUAAUUAAUACUACUAGUAUCUUAUUUUCAUAAAUCUAAUUGAAUUUCCUACUUAUUUAUUUAUUGUUUUCAUGACAAAACUUCAUCAACUUUCAUAUCUUUCCUUACAAUUCUGAGUUCAACUGUCCUUGCGAAAUACCAAUAUGAGAAUGUUUCCCCAUUUGCCCAACACAACAUAGGUAUGCAAAUCUCCUUAUUUGCAUCAUUUAUAUAUUUCAUGAUGGUUGUGGUUUAUGAAAUCCUUGAUUCUAAUGGAACUAUCAAAAUUGAAGAAGAUGGAAGAUAUCUCCUUAUUUUGAGUCAUGUUCGGUUCUUAAGUGGAACAGCAGCUGCAACUUUGUUGAUCCUGAUCUUGAUCCCAUAUUUUGGAUGGUUCUUUCUGAUCAUGUGGACCAUGUUCUUAGUGAAAAUAACAUGCUAUUGGGAUAAAACAUUUUAUAACUUUGACAUGUUCAAGAAUAAAAAAAAAUGCCAAUGAUAGGGAAGGAGGACAAGAGGAGCAACGACUCCAAGUUUAGAGUAGGUUUGGUCCAUCAGAGGUUAUUAGCAAAAAACAUAUUUUCUUCUUGUACUUUCGAAAGUGUUAAAUAAGUGUUAUAUUUUGAGUAAUGAGAGUAUUUUUUUCCUUUUUUCUUUUUUUCUAAUACAUUAUUGGUGAUUAUUCUUCGUCGGAAUACCCACAAGGCUAUUAGAUGUUUCAUUGCAAAAUAUGGUUUUAUAUGAUAGCAUUACGAUUGAACUAAUAAAACAUAUUUUUUGCAUAUUGUUUAGUUGGACCCCCCGACUACCUCUCGGUAAUAUCCUCUUAACAUAGGAAGUAUAAACUAAUAGCAAGUGCUAAUCUUUCCCAUUCUUACACAAGAAAGACCCAAGGAGAAGGUAUAUUUAGAAAUUGCAUAUCUAUGUUCCCAAACAAUAGAAAAUUCAAUAUAUGGCACUUCACUCUCUACUUUUCUUUCCCACAUUUUCUCAUAACCCAAAUAUGCUCACCUCUCAUUCUAAGAUCCAACCAUUGAAAAACAAUUACAAAAAUCCUAAUAAAAGAGAUAGAUCAUACUACAAUUACACUUUCUUACAAGAAAUUGAAGUGUAGAAGGUAUAACAAUUGAGUGAAACAAAUAAAAACCAACCUCCUUUAACACACAUGCUAAUGAAAUACUUGCAGAGACACUUUAAAUUUCUCCAGACUCCAAGAGAUAUUGAACAACAGCCUCGACACCUGCAGCGACGAGACCAUCACCUGAUACGAUAUAAUGCACAAACUCGGCACGGAAUCAAUAAGACUUGGUUGGAUUACAAAUUUUUUUUCAAACAUUCUCUUUUUCUUUCCAAUCACAAUAAAACAUCAGAAUAUUUUCAAAAAUAAAAAUCAGAAAUUCACCUUUCAAAAGCAAACACCCAUGAUUCUGAAAUUGGAGCUUUUAACCUAAAAGAUCAAAGAAGAUGAAGAAGAAAAAACCCAACCCCUGACUCGUUCGGAAAUAAGAGGAGAAACCACCGAAGGAUGAGGGCAUGAUUUAGGAUUUACUUACUUGAUUUUCCUAAAAAUCGAGAAUCAUCGGAGGGUGGAGGUUUGGUGUCAACGGUGGUAACUCGUCAAGUGGAUUGAAUCUUACAACAGCGACGUCGGCCAGGCAACCCUCUCACAGUCAGAUUGCUCUCCCUUCGGGGUCUUGCAUAGUUGCAAAUUUGCAAUUGUAGGUGGUGUCAUCUGUCGACGGUCUUGACAACAAUGGUGUUGUGCGAGUAUGGAAGAUUGGGAGCCUAAAUUGGUAAAGUAAAAAAUGCAUUUUAUAUGGAUUUACAUUGAUGAUAUGAGAUAGGAUUUGAUGGUAACAUAUUAAAUUAAAUUAAAUGAUUGAGUCCAAAAUGAUAUGGAUGGUAUGAGAUAGGAUUUAAUGAAAAAUUAAAUGUAUUUAUAUGGCAGAUUGAGAAUUAAAUCCACAAUUCUUAGUAGUAUUAUAAAUGGCUUUGAGUUAAAUGUGAAAAAGUUUUAUUAAUUUUUUAAGCUUAUUAAAUUUAUAUCUAUUUUUUAUAUAUAAUUUACAUAAUAUUUUUAUAAUUUUUUGAAAUUUCUAAUUAUCUUAUUUUGCGUGUUGCUUGAUAUUGAAUCAAGAUGUUGAGACCAACAUAUCUCGGGAACAUCUGAGUUAAUGAUCGAUAUCGCGACUUUGAACCAUGCUCGUCUCCAAUCCCUUAACAAUGAUGAAAAAUGAGGGCAACACAAUUACCCUUUUUAUUAUUAUCUGUUCAAAAUAAUACAUGCAUUAUAAUAUAAUUUUUUAAAAAUAUUUUACAAAAAAAUAUAUGUGGACCCCGUAUUUAGGCUCAUGCGUUUCCACUCGAUGGCGAGCUUGAUUUUAUUUUGAAAAUAAUUUUAUUUAUUAGAAAAUGACUUGGAGUCGCCACUUAUUUUUGUUUUAUUUUUAAAGGGUAAACAAAAUAAGAAAGAAAACCCUAAGUGUGACUCCUUAUUUUGGAAAAGGUGGUCUGUAAAAAAUUGGAUCGAGUUUGGGGGUCAGGUUACUUAUCGGGAAGGUACGGUAAAGACCGUAGCACCCCUUUAAGUCCCCAAAGUCGGGUCUCUACUAAUAAAAUGAAGUUGACGCAACAAUCAAUAAUAAAAACAAUGAAUACCGACAUGAUCACAUAUUGAAAGCCAAAACAUAUAAGGAUGAUGGUUAGAGUGAGAAAAAAUGCGUACCUGAUCAGCAAGCGGCAACGCGCUAUCAUAAAAUGAGGUUAGUGCACAAAUAAUGGACAUAAAACAUAGCUCACAAGCCACUGAAUCGAGUACAAAAUCAUCAGAUAUCACAAUUAAGUCAAAUUUAUUUUUCGGGGAAACAAUCACUGAUGUUGGGCCUUCACCAAAACCCAAUUUAUUCCUGUAUGAAUUAAUUUCGUAAAUUCCAUCACUUGGAAUUACAGAAUUUAAUUCACACUUAUUUUUAAAAUGUUUUAGAAAUCAUGGAAGUUAUGGAAAUCCAUGCCGAAGAAAAUGGCAACAAAAUUUUAUUAAAAAUGUGAUUUUUGGGACUUGAAAGCUCUAAGGAUGAAGAAUCUGGAAAAUAAUGCGAAAAAAAUGAGAUUUGGAAAAAAAUAUUUUUUUAAACCAAGAAUGGUGAAAAUGAGAAAAAAAAAAAAAAAGGAAGUGACACGUGGCAUAAGGGUGGCCAUGCAAAGGUGGCCAUGCACCAUUCCAAACAAAUCUAACCCCACUUGCUUUUAUUUGAUCCUGAUCUUAAUCCCAUAUUUUGGAUGGUUCCUUCUGGUCAUGUGGACCAUGUUCUUAGUUAAAAUAACAUGCUAUUGGGAUAAAACAUUUUAUAACUUUGACAUGUUCAAGAAUAAAAAAAAUGUCAAUGAUAAGGAAGGAGGACAAGAGGUGCAGCGACCCCAAGUUUAGAAUAGGUUUGGUCCAUAAGAAGUUAUUAACAAAAAAACAUAUUUUCUUCUUGUACUUUUGAAAGUGUUAUAUUUUGAGUAAUGAGAGUAUUUUUUUUUUCCUUUUUUCUUUUUCUUUAAUACAUUAUUGGUGAUUAUUCUUCGCUGGAAUACCCACAUGGCUAUUAGAUGUUUCAUUGCAAAUAUGGUUUUAUAUGAUAGAAUUAUGAUUGAACUUAUAAAACAUAUUUUCUGCAUAUUGUUUAGCUGGGCCUCCCAACUACCUCUCGGUAAUAUCCUCUUAACAUAGGAAGUAUAAACUAAUAGCAAGUGCUAAUAUUUCCCAUUCUUACACAAGAAAGACCCAAGGAAAAGGUAUAUUUAGAAAUUUCAUUUCUAUGUUCCCAAACAAUAGAAAAUUCAAUAUAUGGCACUUCACUCUCUACUUUUCUUUCCCACAUUUUCUCAUAACCCAAAUAUGCUCACCUCUCAUUCCAAGAUCCAACCAAAAUUGAAAAACAAUUACAAAAAUCCUAAUAAAAGAGACAGAUUAUACUACAAUUACACUUUCUUACAAGAAAUUGAAGUGCAUAAGGUAUAACAAUUGAGUGGAACAAAUAAAAACCAGCCUCCUUUAACACAUUUGCUAAUGAAAUACUUGCAGAGACACUUUAAAUUCCUCCAGACUCCAAAAGAUACUGAUCAACAGCCUCGGCACCUGCAGCGACGAGACCAACACCUGAUACGAUAUAAUGCACAAACUCGGCAUGAAAUCAGUAAGACUCAGUUAGAUUACAGAAAAAUUUUCAAACAUUCUUUUUUUCUUUCCAAUCAUAAUAAAACAUCAGAGUAUUUUCAAAAAUAAAAAUCAAAGAUUCCCCUUUCAAAAGCAAACACCUAUGAUUCUGAAAUUGGAGCUUUUAACCCAGAAGAUAAAAAAAGACGAAAAAGAAAAAACCCAACCCCUGACCCGUUCGGAAAUAAGAGGAGAAACCACCGAAUGAUGAGGGCAUGAUUUAGGAUUUACUUACCUGAUUUUCCUAAAAAUCGAGAAUCAUCGGAGGGUGGAGGUUUGGUGUCGGUGGUGGUAACUCGUCAAGUGGACUGAAUCUUACAACGGCGACGUCGGCCAGGCAACCCCUCAUAGUCAGAUUGCUCCCCAUCCGAGGUCUUUCAUAGUUGCAAAUUUGCAAUUGCAGGUGGUGUCAUCUAUCGAUAGUCUUGACAGCAACGGUGGUGUGCAAGGUGUGCGAGAUUGGGAGCCCAAAUUGGUAAAGUAAAAAAUGCAUUUUAUAUGGAUUUACAUUGAUGAUAUGAGAUAGGAUUUGAUGGUAACUUAUUAAAUUAAAUUAAAUGACUGAGUCCAAAAUGAUAUGGAUGGUAUGAGAUGGGAUUUAAUGAAAAAUUAAAUGUAUUUAUGUGGCAGAUUGAGAAUUAAAUCCCCAAUUCUUAGUAUUAUUAUAAAUAGCUUUGAGUUAAAUGUGAAAUUUUUUUGUUUUAUUAAGUUUUUAAGCUUAUUUAAUUUCUAUCUAUUUUUUAUAUAUAAUUUACAUAACAUUUUUAUAAUUUUAUGAAAUUUCUAAUUAUCUUAUUUUGCGUAUUGCUUGAUACUGAAUCAAGAUGUCGAGACUAACAUAUCUCGAGAUCAUCUGAGUCAAUGAUCGAUAUCGCGACUUUGAACCAUACUUGUCUCCAAUCCCUCAACAGUGAUGAAAAAUGAGGCCAACACAGUUGCCUUUUUUAUUAUUAUCAGUUAAAAAUAAUGAAUCUAUAUCCAUGUAUUAUCAAGAAUAAAUAAGUUUAUAUUUAUAAAUUUUUAUUAUAAAUUUAUAUUUACACAUAUCCUUGAUUUUCCUCAAGGUCUUAUUUUUAAUUGAUUACAAAGCAUUAGUACUUAUUUAAUUUAAAAUGUAUUAAAUAAAUAUUAAUAUUACAUAAAUAAAUAAAAGUUGAAUUUGAAUAAAAAUUAUAUAUAUAUAUAUAUAUAUCAUAUUCUACAUGAAUAUGAAUCUAUUAUUAAAGAUACAUGGUAAUAAGUGUUAAUAUUAUAUAAUCAAAUGAGAGUACAAAAAUUUUCUAUUAUUAACAAUACAUUAUUAUAAUAAUGAAAUACUUAAUAUCAUGUAAAUAAAUAAAAGUCAUCAUAAAUUUAAAUUUGAAUUUAUAUUUUUAAACCCAUCAAAUUUAUUUUUAUUUAUUUUUAAUUUUAAGAAUUUUUUCUCCACUUCAAAUAGCAAUAAUAGUGUUUAUUCAUACUAAUUAUACUUAAAAUUGAUGAAAUUUAUGAAAAAAGAAGAAGUAAAAACCCAUACCCUUCAAAUUUACAUUUGUUUUAAUUUUAAGAUUUUUUUUCUCUACUUCAAGUAAUAAUAAUAAUAAUGUUUAUUCAUACUAAUAGCAAUAAAAUUAACGAAAAUGAUGAAAAAUAAAAAAUAAAAAAUAAAUAGUAAAAACUUCAAAAUUUUAAUAAUAAUAAUAAUAUUUAUUCAUACUAAUAAACAAUUCUUCAUAAUCAUAACCUACUAAUUUCCAACAAUUAUAAUUGAAAUUGUUUUGAAUAAACAAUGUAAUUUGUAUUUGAAGUUGAAGAAAAUUGUGAAAAUUAAAUGGGAAGGGUAGGGUUUUAAUUUUUUAUUUUAUUUAAAAUUUUUCCCUCAUUAAUUAAUUAAUUAAUUAAUUAAUUUAUUUAUUUAUUUAUGAAUUUUGAGUGAAAUUAUUAUGAAUCAACAAUUUUAUUGAUAUUUAAAGUUUAAAAAAAAAAAAUCUAUGAAUUUUAAAUAAAUUUUGGAAGGUAUUUGUAAUGGGGUAUUUUUAUUUGCACUUUCCUAUUAUGUUGAAAUAUUGUUUGGUUUCAACAUUGUUUAUUCAAAAUAAUUUCAAUUAUAAUUAUUGGAAAUUAGGAGGUUAUGAUUAUGAAGAAUUGUUUAUUAGUAUGAAUAAACAUUAUUAUUAUUAUUAUUAUUAUUAUUUGAAGCAGAGAAAAAAAUUCAUAAUGCAUAGGGAGACCACAGAUUCUAUGGAUUCAACAAUUGAUAAACCUACUUGUUUAUGUUAUUGUCCCUAACCAUCUAUUCCAUUUUUGAAUUUACUUUUGGUGCAUUUAGUUUGUAACUUAUCUUAUGUUUUACUUAUUUUCAAUUUUUUUUUUUUAAGGUUAAGAUAGUAGUUUUUUUUUUUUUUAAAAAAAAAAAAAAAAACUCUUUUGAGCAAUACUUGAUUCUCUUGCUAUUCUUAUUUUUAACCAUUUUUUCAAUAAGAAAUUAUUUCUUUUUGGCGGAAUUGUAGGAAGUGGAUUGAAUCGGAAAAUUUAUUUGGGCCAGAUUGUGUUUCACUAGAGUCUUGAGAGAUGCAGCUUAGUGAGCUUAUAAUAAAAAGGUAGGCAUUUAAACGGACCAUACUGGUCCGAGUCAAUCUUAGUUUGGCCUAGUGGGCCUUCGGAAUUGCUCCAACAUGAAUUUCAAUGUCAACUUCAAUUUUUAAAAUUAAUAAUUAUACAUUUGUUUUAACUAUUUAUAACAAAUAUUAUCUUUGAAAAGUAAAUUUCAAUUAAUUUUUAUAUUUAAAUAAAAAUUAUUAUUAUUUUAAUUAUUUGUAUCCAAAUCAUACCCGAUAUAUUUGAUUUAUCUUACAAUGUUUCAACAUAAUAGGAAAUUGCAAAUAAAAAUACCCCAUUACAAAUACCUUCCAAAAUUUAUUUAAAAUUCAUAUAUAUUUAUAUAUAUAUAUAUAUAUAUAUAUAUAUAUAUAUAUGAAUUUUAAAUAUCAAUAAAAUUGUUGAUUCAUAAUAAUUUCACUUAGAAUUCAUAAAAAAAUACGAGGAAAAAAAUUAAAAUAAAAAUUUUUAAGAUCCCUACCCUUCCCAUUUAAUUUUAACAAUUUUUUUCUGAGCAUUGAUUUGUUGAUCGAUUAUCAAGGGCCACUCAUUUGCUUUGUUGGAUCUAACUCUCUGUAUGCAUGCUCUGUUUUGGCUUUGUUUGUUUUUUUUUUUUUUUUUUAUCUUUGCUUUCUCUUGUAAAUAUCUGAUGCAUUGUUCCUUCUCUGAACUUGAGAUAUAAAAAUCAUGCUCUUGUUCCUUGUGGAUUCCACCUUCUCCUAGCUCUUUGACAAUCCAUGAAAUAGAGCUAAGUUCAUACUCUAUUUUUAUGUUUUUAUUCUUCUUUGUUUGUUGUUGAUGGUGGGAUGAUAUUAUCAAUGGCUAAGUUGCUGGGAUUUGAGGAGUGAGGUUAUGGGGAAGUGAACUUAAUGGAGGAUUUCUAUGAUCAUAUCUAUGCUCCAAUCUAUUGGUUCAAAAUGUUGGCCAUGAGACUGCAUUGAAGUUUUGGUAUUUGGGAUCACUUUGCCAUCCGGGUUCAGUAAGCAACACAGUGGCAAUAAAGAUGCAUUGGUGUUAUUAAUUUGGGUGAAUAAGUUGGUUGUAUGAAUCGUGAAAGUUCAGGUUGUGCUUUGAGGAGAGUAUAUCUUGCAUCCUAUUAUUUUAAUUAUUAAUUUUGGAUGUUGAAAUAUGAUGUGAUCGCACUUCAUACAUCAUGGUUGUGUGAGGAAAAAGAAAGAUUGAAGAAAUGGUUGUGUGAAAUGGAAAUAAGAAUGAAAAGACCCUGGAGAGGGCAAAAAUGAAAAGAAAAAAAAAAUGAAAUGAUCCCAGAGAGGGCAAAUUAAGAAGGAAGUGAGAUCUUUAAGGUGAAAGUCCCAAAAGUUUACUUCGGGAAGACUCCGAAUGGGGAGUAUAUUUAGGUACAGAUGUGUAUCCUUUGGUGAAAGCUUGAGAACCAUAGUGCAUUGUGUGAUUGCGUGUAAGCAUUUGCAUCAUAAUUGCGUUUGGAAGAAGGAUUUGUAUUAUUUAUCAAGUGUAUGUUUGAAUAUAUUAUUCAAAACUAAAAUGACUUGUUUAUUUUGUAAAUUUAGAAUUGUUGAUAUACUAAACAUAUGAUUGAAUAAGGAAAAUGAUAAUUUUGAUUGUUUUAAAUUUAUAUGGUUAAGGUUUCUUUUAAUGUAUAUAUUGUAAAUGUAAUAUUGUAUUUUGACAUAUGGUUGUGUUAUUGACCUAGAAUUUCUAACCUAUUUGGGUGUAAAACACCCUACUGAGCAACGUGGAAAUGCCCAUCUCUUUAUUUUCUAAAAUUUUAGAUGCAAAUAUAGUUUCAGAGGGACCACAAGAAGUUCAAGAAGCGUUCUAGAAAGUAAAAGAACUAUAAUAAUAGUUGUUUUUAAAUUUAUAUUUCUCUUUUUAUAUGUACCAAUUUGAGUUAUAUGGACUUUUGUAUGUUAAAUUAUAUUUUGUUAAAUUGUAAAAUAUUUUUGGAAAUAUUUUUUUUAACUUAGAGAUUAUUGUAAAUAUUUCAGCUUUUGGGCAGAAAGAUGACUGGUGGAUUUAUUAUACUUGUGAAUAAGAGAUAGUGUGAUGGUUGGUUUUAGAAAAAUAAAAUAUUAUAGUAAAUCUUAACUUAAUAAGAGCAGGAUGAUCAUCAGCCUGCUCUUGAAGCAUCCAGGGAGGGCAUAUUCCAAGAAAGUUACGAAAAAUUGAGAUGAAGAAACUGCAGUGAAGCAAUUUCAUGGAAUUUUUGCUUGGAGACUCACGAAUUACAACCAAUUGCUCAGGGUUGGGAAAAUUGGAAUUGGUGUAAAUUGUGACUGGGUCUUUGUAAAACCCACAUCAUUUAGCUAGAAAAGCUUUGAAAAUACAUUUUAAUUUAAUUUAUAAUUUCUAUGUUAGAAUAUUAGAUCCAAUUCCUAAAAAGCUUAUCAGCCUUGUAUAUAUGGCUAAGCAGGUCAACUUCCCAAGCUCAAGCGCAUUAAGAAAUUCUCAGACCUACCUUUUUUUUAUAGGAUUUUUGGGAAGUUUUACAGCAAUUGAAAACAAAUCCUAAAAGGGUCGGGAAAUUAUUUGAAAAAAUAUGGCAGAUUUGGUCACAUAGGGGACAAAGAUGUGAUAAAGUUGGUACAACGCCCAAAAUUAAACUCUCAAUUAAUUUAAUUAAACAAAUAAUCAUAAAAGAGAUCUGUGUAGACUGUGUGGCAGGUUUUUAAUUUAUGAUUUUUGUUUUUUUAUUUAUACUUUUUGAAAAAGAAAAUUCCAGUGAAAUAUGUUCGUGUAGACUGUGUGGCAGGAUGCAGACUAAACAAAGAAAUUGACACGUGCUUGAAUCCGGCCCUACACAUAGCCCCAUUGGAAAACAGCGGUUUCAUCCUCCGUACUCUUUGGGCGUUAAGUGGGUUCACAAACCAAACAAUGGGCUGCCCCAACACAGCAACACUUAGAUUGAGGACAAACUAUGUAGGUGAAUACCCAAUUAUACCCACAUGAAUCAGCGGUCAAUCUUUCAAAUCUAAGGACAGAGUAGUCAUUCCAAUUCAAACCAAACAAAGCUAUGAGAACUGCUGGCCACAGCCUCUGGUUUCCCCAAAACUUUGGGCAGUAUUCCUCAAAGAAUCAAGUGGGCUAGAUUUAAUAACUUCGUCCACCAUGGUUAGAUUAUUGGGGGCUAGAGUCAAUAACUUCAUCCACCAUGGUUAGAUUAUUGGUAUCUCGAUGGGAGAAGUUGUUUUGAUGGAAAAACAUUGUAUUUUAUUAUUUUGUAAAUUUUAUCAUCACUCAUAUAUAUUAUUUUUUAUUUAAAAUUAAAUAAAAAAUUAAAAUUCUUAGAAAAUACGAAAAGAAAGUAUAUCACAAUCUUUAUUUUCUAUUCUAAAAUUAAAAAAUAAAAAUAAAAUUAUGAAGAAAAAAGUACAUUCCAACUUACAUUAAUUAAGGGAUGAUAUACUGUGCAAAUAAAAAAUAUAAAAAAUAAUUAAAGGUUAAAUAAAUCACUUAAUAAAUCGGUAGUAUGAGUUGAUGGUUUCAUUAUUAGACUAUAACAAAGAUUUUCAUUUUCUUUUUCUUUUUAAAUGCAUUUUAUGGUGGUGUAUAACUUUUUUGUAUAAGGGUUUUUAAAUUGUAAUAUAGAUUAUAUAUAUAGUUGUGUUUUGUCCUAAAUUCUGUCUUCCAAGUUUUCAACAUUAUAUAAAAAUCCCUAAAAUCACCUACUUUAUACGUUUUCUAACAUUAUAUAAAAAUCCCUGAAUUCACCUAUUAGAAAAAUGUUAUUUGGUGCGCUAUCAUUACCAUGGCCUCAACCUCGUGCAAAUAUAUCGAGUGGUUACUAAUAGUAAAAAAUAAAUAAUAAAAACAAAAUAUAUUCAUUAUUAUUAUUAUUAUUUUGUACUUUUACCAUCCAUUAUUCACAUCUUAGCAUAUGAUAGAAAAUACGAUAAAAGAUUAUUUAUGUUGUAUGAUUUUAAGUGAAAUGAUCAAAAUAUUUAAAGAAAAAAUUAAUAAUUCAUGAAGAAUUUUUGGUAAAUUUAUAAAUUUGUAAUAAAUAUUGAUAAAUGAUAAACAAAAUAGUUUUUAAAGUGGUUGCCGUAGUUAAACAUUGUAUCUUAUUAUGAUUUUCCACCUUCAAAACUUAAUAAUAAAAUUUCAUAACAAAUUUUUAUCUAUUUGAAACUUUUGAAAUGUGAAAUCUUUUCUUGGACAUUUUUAUAUAUACAUUUGUGAAUUUUAUCUUUAUUUUUUAUUUAUAAAAUUAAAGGAUAAAAUUAAAAUGUUAAAAAUAAAAGAGAAGUAUAUCCCAACUUGCAUCAAUUAAGAGAAGAUAUAUUAAGCACAUGAAGAAUGCAAAAAAAAUUAAUGAUAAAAUAAAUCACUUAUUAGAUAGUAUUUAAUGAUUUACAUUAUUAGAUUGUAGCAAUGAGUUAUAUUUUUAUUUUUGUGUAUAGGGGAUUUUAAAUUAUAAUAUAUAUUUUUUAUUAUUUUUGAGUUAGUUUUCUUUGUUGAUACAUAGUUUUUUUUUUUGUCUUAGAUAUUGUGUUAUCAGCAGUUUUAAAAGAAAUAAAAAUUAUUUAUCCCACAUCGAUUCAAAACUAAAAAUAUUAUAUAUAUUUAUUAAAACUUUGAUACCCUUAAAAAAUACAAGUACAACCAAUAAGCAAGCAUAGGGAUGGCAACGGGGCGGGUAUGGGACAUGCCACCCCUACCCCAUUUCCAUCCCAGUUAUAUAUUUUUUUGCCCAUCUCUGUCCCAAACUUGGGGCGAGGCGAGUUGGUGUCCCCCUUACCUGUUUACAAAAGAGCUGAUAAUCUCAUCCCCGUUCCAAAUGUAUUUUCGGGAAUUAUGCUUUUACAGAACAUUGGUCUCUGAAAUUUCAAUAAACGUUAUAUGGGUUAUCAUAAACACAUUUAAUCAAGCAUUUGUUGUGCAACAAAACUAAAAAUUGCACAUAUGAGAACAAAAUGUACAUAUCUACAAAUAAACAACCCAAAAAAUCUCAAAUCCAUAAAGCAAAACCAGAAAAAUAUGAAAAACAAGACAUUCUAACAAAGCCUCAAAACUUAGGGUUUUCUUACCUGGAAAUGAGGAAUCUAUAGAAACCCUAAUAAUUUGUUGUCUACGAAUUUGGUUUUUAGUUUUUAGAGCAAAAAUUGUGCUUUUAGGGUGAAAUGGGAAGAAGCAAUUUAGGAAGAAAUGAGAAAACGGGAAGAAAUGAGAAAACGAAAGGCCUCUUAUGAGCAAAAGAACCCUGAGCAAUUUAGGAAGAAAUGAGAAAACGGGAAGAAAUGAGAGCGAAAGCCCUCUAACUCUUUCACGAGCGAAAUAACCCUAAAACUUGAGGAAGAAAUGAUUAUAUAUGGAGGACUUUUUGGGUAUUUUGUAAUGACGUAAGGGUAAAUUGGUAAUUCACAUACGGGGUGGGGCAGAAACUGCAAAACCCAUCCCUGCCUUAAACCCGAUUCGGGUUUUUAUAUAUUCCCCAAACCCGUUUUAUACCCGAAUAGGAUAUUCUCAUACUCGUCCCAAUAGGGACGGGGCGGGUGACCCAAAUUACCCGGAAAAUUGUCAUUCCUAAGCAAGCAUUGAGUUAAAUCCUAAUCUCACAUUCCUGCUCGAAACUUUACACUCACAUAAAAACAACUCACCACUUGACUCGAGGGACUAUUCCGUAACUUCUCACUACCAACAACUAGGCACUAUUCAACCUCUCGCUCACUUAUAAAUUCACUCUCUACCUGCAUAUUCAAAAUGUAUCUCACUACUAUUCUACUCUACUAUUCUACUUUUCGUGGUUUCAUAUCUCACUAUUAUUCUACUUUUCGCGGUUUCAUAUCUCACUACUAUUCGCGUGUUCAAAGUGUGCAUAUUCAAACUGUAUCCCUCCCUGAAUUAAUUGUGAAUUAAUUUAGGCUUCAAAGUGUGAUGCUCUACAAUAUCCCUCCCAGUCAGGCCUCAAAGUAAGAACAACAACAUCUACAAUAUCUGCCAUGGCCACACAACCAAGGCAUGCGGUAUGCCGCAUUUUCUCAUGUCCUUUUCCCAUUUUGUUCCCUCUUUUCAUCUCCAUUUUGUUUUCAAUAUUCCCUUACCUUACUCAUAUUCUCUAAAAUUAGAUAAAAUUAUUAAUUUGAUCAUAUUUAUCUAACAUUUUUAAUUAGUACUACUAGUAUCUUAUUUUCAUAAAUCUAAUUGAAUUUCCUACUUAUUUAUUUAUUGUUUUCAUGACAAAACUUCAUCAGCUUUCAUAUCUUUCCUUACAAUUCUGAGUUCAACUGUCCUUGCGAAAUACCAAUAUGAGAAUGUUUUCCCAUUUGCCCAACACAACAUAGGUAUGCAAAUCUCCUUAUUUGCAUCAUUUAUAUAUUUCAUGAUGGUUGUGGUUUAUGAAAUCCUUGAUUCAGAUGGAACUAUCAAAAUUCAAGAAGAUGGAAGAUAUCUCCUUAUUUUGGGUCAUGUUCGGUUCUUAAGUGGAACAGCAGCUGCAACUUUGUUGAUCCUGAUCUUGAUCCCAUAUUUUGGAUGGUUCUUUCUGAUCAUGUGGACCAUGUUCUUAGUGAAAAUAGCAUGCUAUUGGGAUAAAACAUUUUAUAACUUUGACAUGUUCGAGAAUUAAAAAAAAUGCCAAUGAUAAGGAAUGAGGACAAGAGGAGCAACGACCCCAAGUUUAGAGUAGGUUUGGUCUAUAAGAGGUUAUUAGCAAAAAACAUAUUUUCUUCUUGUACUUUCGAAAGUGUUAUAUAAGUGUUAUAUUUUGAGUAAUGAGAGUAUUUUUUUUUUCCUUUUUUCUUUUUCUCUAAUACAUUAUUGUUGAUUAUUCUUCGCUGGAAUACCCACAAAGCUAUUAGAUGUUUCAUUGCAAAUAUGGUUUUAUAUGAUAGCAUUAUGAUUGAACUAAUAAAAUAAAUUUUCUGCAUAUUGUUUAGCUGGACCUCCCAACUACCUCUCGGUAAUAUCCUCUUAACAUAGGAAAUAUAAACUAAUAGCAAGUGCUAAUCUUUCCCAUUCUUACACAAGAAAGAACCAAGGAAAAGGUAUAUUUAGAAGUUGCAUUUCUAUGUUCCCAAACAAUAGAAAAUUCAAUAUAUGGUGCUUUACUCUCUACUUUUCUUUCCCACCUUUUCUCAUAACCCAAAUAUGCUCACGUCUCUUUCCAAGAUCCAACCAAAAUUGAAACACAAUUACAAAAAUCCUUGUAAAAAAGACAGAUCAUACUACAAUUACACUUUCAUACAAGAAAUUGAAGUGCAGAAAGUAUAAAAAUUGAGUGAAACAAAUAAAAACCAACCUCCUUUCACACACCUGCUAAUGAAAUACUUGUAGAGACACUUUAAAUUUCUCCAGACUCCAAGAGAUAUUGAUCAACAGCCUCGACACUUGCAGCGACGAGACCAGCAUCUGAUACGAUAUAAUGCACAAACUCGGCACGGAAUCGAUAAGACUCGGUUAGAUUACAAAUUUUUUUUCAAACAUUCUUUUUUUCUUUCCAAUCACAAUAAAACAUCAUAAUAUUUUCAAAAAUAAAAAUAAGAGAUUCCCCUUUCAAAAGCAGACACCCAUGAUUCUGAAAUUGGAGCUUUUAACCCAGAAGAUCAAAGAAGAUGAAGAAGAAAAAACCCAACCCCUGACCCGUUCGAAAAUAAGAGGAGAAACCACCGAAGAAUGAGGGCAUGAUUUAGGAUUUACUUACUUGAUUUUCCUAAAAAUCAAGAAUCAUCGGAGGGUGGAGGUUUGGUGUCGGCGGUGGUAACUCGUCAAGUGGACUGAAUCUUACAACGGCGACGUCGGCCAGACAACCCCUUCACAGUUAGAUUGCUUCCCCUCCGGGGUCUUGCAUAGUUGCAAAUUUGCAAUUGUAGGUGGUGUCAUCUGUCGGCGGUCUUGACAACAAUGGUGGUGUGCGAGUGUGGGAGAUUGGGAGCCCAAAUUGGUAAAGUAAAAAAAUGCAUUUUAUAUGGAUUUACAUUGAUGAUAUGAGAUAGGAUUUGAUGGUAACAUAUUAAAUUAAAUUAAAUGAUUGAGUCCAAAAUGAUCUGGAUGGUAUGAGAUGGGAUUUAGUGAAAAAUUAAAUGUAUUUAUAUGGCAGAUUGAGAAUUAAAUCCACAAUUCUUAGUAUUAUUAUAAAUAGCUUUGAGUUAAAUGUGAAAAAAAUUUAUUAAUUUUUUAAGCUUAUUAAGUUUAUAUCUAUUUUUUUUAUAUAUAAUUUACAUAAUAUUUUUAUAAUUUUUUUGAAAUUUCUAAUUAUCUUAUUUUGCGUAUUGCUUGAUAUCGAAUCAAGAUGUCGAGACCAACAUAUCUCGAGAUCAUCCGAGUCAAUGAUCGAUAUCGCGACUUUGAACUAUGCUCAUCUCCAAUCCCUCAAUAGUGAUGAAAAAUAAGGGCAACGCAAUUACCUUUUUUAUUAUUAUCAGUUCAAAAUAAUACAUGUAUUAUAAUAUAAUUUUUUUAAAAUAUUUUACAAAAAAAUAUAUGUGGACCCCGUAUUUAGGCUCAUGCGCUUCCAUUCGAUGGCAAACUCGAUUUUAUUUUGAAAAUGAUUUUAUUUAUUAAAAAAUGACUUGGAGUCGCCACUUAUUUUUGUUUUAUUUUUAAAGGGUAAAGAAAAUAAGAAAGAAAACCCUAUGUGUGACUACUUAUUUUGAAAAAGGUGGUCUGUGAAAAACCGAAUCAGGUUCGGGGGUCAGGUUACUUAUUGGGAAGGUACAGUAAAAACCGUAGCACCCCUUUAAGUUCCCAAAGUCGGGUCUCUACUAAUAAAAUGAAGCUAACACGACAAUGAAUAAGAAAAAUAAUGAAUAUUGACAUGAUCACAUAUUGAAAGCCAAAACAUAUAAGGAUGAUGGUCAGAGUGAGAAAAAAUGCAUACCUGAUCAGCAAGCGGUAACGCGCUAUCAUAAAAUGAGGUUAGUGCACAAAUAAUGGACAUAAAACAUAGCUCACAUGCCACUGAAUCGAGUACAAAAUCAUCAGAUAUCACAAUUAAGUUAAAUUUAUUUUUCGAGGAAACAAUCACUGAUGUUGGGCCCCCACUGUAGACCCUCAAAUUUGUCCCUUUAGCACAUGUCUUUGAGUUCGUUUUCAGUACUUCAAAAUAGUUCCUUGGUGGCCCAUGGCUACUCAUACCACUUACCUUUUUCUGAGUCACCUCGGAGAUUUUGGUCGAGGGAUUAUCUGACCCAUUAUUGUGACCCUUGGCAACCCUAUUUUAGACUUAGGCUUUUCGUUCAUUUUUAGGAUAGCUUUUAGGGUAGCUCAUUUAGGCACCCUAGGCCCACUUAGGCACUUAGGCCCAUUUAGGCACCCUAGAUCCACUUAGGCACUUAGGCCCAUUAGGUCCACCUUGGCCCACUUAGUCUCACCUUGGCCCAUUAGUCUUUGUUUUUAGUAUGACUUAUAUGGUUGUAUGACGCAUUUAUCUCAUUUACUUAUUUAUUUAUCUUUAUUUUUUAUUAUUACUAACCACUUUUAUUUGAUCAUUUAUUAUGGUUUUAUUUAUUCAUUUGUUUUGAUUUAUUUUCAUUAUUAUCAAUCAUUUUUUAGUUAUUUAUUUAUUUAGUAUUCUUACUUAUUUAUUUAUUAUCUUGUUAUUUAUUCAUUUAUCUAUUAUUAUCAUUUUAUAUUCUCCGAUUUAUUUAUUUAGUUAUUUAUUUAUUUUAUUAUUUAUUAUCUAUUUUAUUAUUUAUUUAUUUAUUUAAUUUAAUAAUUUGAAAUUUUUAUGGAAGAAGUCUACCAUUGGAUAAGUUUUUGAAAACGGUAAAACUCUUUAAAUGAUAUGCAUGGAUUGUGGGUGAUAUGCGUGGAUUGGUAUUGUUUGAAAUUAAAAAAAAAUGAGUUUUUCCGGUGCAUAAGAUAAAAUCUGGAGGGAGGAAGACUCCUCACGUAGGAGGACUAUUAUUUGCUAUAAAAAAGCUCUAACAGAUAGGUAUAAAGGGAGGACUUUCGGCACAUAGAAAAAAAAAAAAAAAAGAGAGAGAGGCGGAAAAAUUGGAUUUUCAGAGAAGACUUUCUAGUGAGAAGCUGUCGGUGGAGAAGAAGGAGAGGGCGGUGGAAGAAAUCUCAGACGACAAACCAGUGGGAUCUCCUUGCCAGAGGAGAGCGUUCCUCGGUAUGUUUGUUGAGAACUCCUUACUUAUUGAUAUUAUCACUUUGUUCUGUAUCCUCUCUGGUUAGUGUUCUUUUACCAUUGUUUUUUUGUUAGGAUAUGAAAGUGAUAUUGGUCUUCUCUUCUCUCAUAUUCUUUUAGUUUCAUCUAAUCAUAAAUCUGAACGUAGUCUCAAUCACACCACUGGUCUGCGAAUCUAUCGACUUCAGAAAGAAAUGGGAUCCCAUUUAAUGUCUAGUUUCCUUGUUUAUUUUGUUAUGGAUAUCCUGUAUUUUGUUUCGUUUACUACUCUACAUCUAGUAUCCCGAUCCAUGUCCCUGUUGUUGGCUCACAUCUUUGAAUUUACUCCGGACGUUUGGUUUCGUGUUCUGAUUUGCACUUGAGAGAGAGGGUUCAGUACAUGACAAGCCAUAUAUCGUGUUAAAUGGAAAUUUGGAUUUUUUUUUCACUGGAGAUUUUAGAUUUCAAAAAUUGGUUUGCAUAGGAACUCUUCCCGAAGUCGGACCUUCGACAAGCCAUUCAAUUCCUAGUCAUUCCUAAUCUCUAGCAUUCCUCUAUCUGAAUUUCAGAUAGAUUUGGUUACCCACUUCCCGAAAACACUAGAAACUGAGUCCACUCCUUUUAGGUCACUGCUUUCUCAUCAUUCGCGGGAUGGGUCUUCCACAUCUGCUUGUGUUCCUGUUCCUGACAUGAAGACCCUAACUAGUUCGUUGCGAUCUUCUCAUUUUGAAGCCCUAGAUGAUCAAAGUUUGGUUCCUACUUCGCCAUGGUCUUGGAACAGAGAAACUAAACCACCAUUCUCUUCAUACCUUCCUCGAGAAAUUGAACCCACUAUGGUGGGUGCUGGGCUUGUAAAUCUAGGCAACACAAUGCUUUCUUAAUGCAGUGCUCCAAUGCUUCACGCACACUGUCCCCCUUGUCCAGAGCCUUCGUUCUUGCAAUUAUGCCAUGCCUUGUCAUAGUUUGUGUUUCUUCCAUUGGUUUCUGUUUAUAUUAAAGAAUGAUCCGACUUUGUUAGUUCCAUUGUAAUAUCCAGAAGUUCCUUCUUCUUUCUUCCAUGUUCAAGCCUGUUGAAAGUGCAUGUAUGAUACAUGGCUUUGAAUGAUUGCCCAUCUACGUGUUUCCCUUCCCCUUGCCAUCCUUUUGCUAUAUCUUAUAGCCUUUGUUCAUGGUUUGUGGGUCGGUUUGCAAGAACGUCUUAUCGUUUGCAAUGAUUAGCACCCGAGCCAUCCUCAUUUGGCUGAUCAAUGUCACUGGGGAAGUCCUUGGAGGGCGGUUGCUACUCUUGAUAUUACAGGUGAUAUGGUGGUAUUUGUGGGUUUUGUUGAGGGUAUUUGGGUUCAGAUCGAAACUGCCCAUCUGAGGUCCUGGAUGAAAGAAUCAAUCCUGUGUCAGUUGUUUGUCUCAAUUAUCUAUAAGAUAGACAAGUGUCCUUAUUAGCAACAGGUGAAAGGAUGGGUAUGCAGAUAGAUCCAAGCCAAGUUGGAGAGUGGUGUCGGACACGCGCUUGAUGAAGGAAACAUUGAGGUUCUUGGAUAUAAACAUGGUCCUACCAUCAGAUCUGAUGUGACAACCAAUAUGUUGUGUCACAAGGAAGAAAUAUUUGAACCAAUACUUCUCUGCAUGGCCAUGCGAAUUCCGAGCAUAUAUACUCCUCGACUGGGACGACGUUCAUAAUGUUGACCACGUGUGAACUAUUUUUUGAAGGUGGGAAUUUUGCGAAUUCAUUUCAGCGCCCAAUUUUGUGUGUAUUUGAUCAGACUUUGGGCUAUCAGUUGGAAUCCAGCACGACUUUAGUUAUCGGCCGCUCGUUCACGAUGUGCUAGAUUGGAAGCUUAAUAGGUUGGAGUAUGGGGCAGACCUCUAGCACUGCUAGGUUCGCCUGACACAGGUGGACAGAUUGCUUAUAUGCUGGAUCAAGUGCGUGCCUUGGAAAAUGAGAUGCUUCUUAAGAUACAAAAGCAAGGACUUGAUGUCAUUCCUAAAAUUCUCAUAGUUACCCGACUUAUACCUGAUGCAAAGGGGACCACACGCAAUCAGAGACUUGAAAGAAUCAGUGGUACAGAACAUACACAUAUUUUUUGAGUGCCAUUUAGAAGAGAAAAUAGUAUUCUGCGGAAAUGGAUCUCAAGGUUUGAUGUAUGGCCAUAUCUGGAAACCUUUGCAGAGGAUGUAUCAAAUGAAAUUGCUGCCGAGCUACAGGGAGUUCCAGAUCUGAUCAUUGGCAACUAUAGUGAUGGGAAUCUUGUUGCAUCUUUACUAUCUUAUAAGCUGGGAAUUACGCAGUGCAAUAUUGCUCAUGCAUUGGAGAAAACAAAAUAUCCAGAGUCUGAUAUAUAUUGGAGAAAAUUUGAGGAUAAGUACCAUUUCUCAAGCCAAUUUACUGCUGAUCUAAUUGCAAUGAACAAUGCAGAUUCUAUAAUCACCAGUACAUACCAAGAGAUUGCCGGAAGCAAGAAUCAUGUUGGACAGUAUGAGAGCCACACAGCCUUCACUCUUCUAGGGCUGCACCGAGUUGUUCAUGGCAUUGAUUUUUUAUCCCAAGUUUAAUAUCAUAUCUCCAGAAGCAGACAUGCCCAUAUACUUCUCAUACUCAGAAAAAGAAAUGGUUGAAAGUCACAUGCAGAAACUCGUCCAUAUGGAAAACUUGAAAAUAUGCACAUAUUCCUUUUUGAUCCUUGCUGCCAGUUUUCACUCAACCACUGACCCUUCAACUUCAAAAAUUCAUUUUGACAACUUUAGGAUAUCUGUAAAAAAUUUCCAGAAAUUUUAUGACUUUCCUCACUUCUUGAACUUGAAUUUGAGGUUUUGUUUGAGUUAGAAAGUCAUUCUGAGAUAGAAGAUAUAAAUGAGUCUUUAGGGGGACUCCGUUUUCACAUAGUUCUGGACACCCAAGAUCUUUUGGAAAAAAUAAAAUACUAGAGGACUUUUUAAAAUUGAUUCAAUAUUUUUUCUCAAUUAUGAGCUUCUUGAAAUUGAUUUUAGACACAUAAAAUAUUAGAAAAUAUGCAUUUUUGAGGGAGAUAUGAUUUUUCAAAGUUGUGCCUACUGCGCAUGCUGGAGUUUGUACAUCUGAUUACAUUUAUAGUUUUAAAAAUAUUUUUGAGUACUAUUCGACCCCGAAUUUAUUUUUUAUGUGAUAUAGACAUUUUGAAAUAUGUGUGUGAUUUUUUUUUAUGAUUUUAUAGGAUCAUUUAUUAUUUUAAAAAAAUUCAUUUAUGCACGUCACUUUUCCUUAUCUAAUCUGGACUUUGUAGAACCUUUAGGUGCCUUUGCAAUAAUCUGUCUUUUGAAUGAGUGUUUGGCUUUUGGUAUGUUAAUCUAGGUGUGUAGGAGUUGUUUCCUGAAACUUUUUGUAAUCAAAUUCCACUCUAAGCCAUUUUUUUAGAAAUUGUUUUACGAUGCUUCAUUUUCUAACCGCAUGCUGAUGGUUUUAUACCUUACUUGAAAUUGUUAUUAUUUUUGGAGUCAUUUAAUUUGUCUUAGCUCAAUUUUGGCUUUGAAACUGUAUAUUAGACAUAAUGGAUAUUUCAUAUAAUUUAUGCUUGCCCUAACCAAUCUAGCAUUUUUCGAGGAAUCUUAUAAAAUAUACUUGCUAUCCAGGUACGUUCUCUAUCCUCUAAUUCCAAAAUUCUAUGAAAAUGCAUGCUAUCAUGAGCUAUAUCCAUGCUUUGAUUUAAUCCUUGGGUGCUUAGAUGUAUGUUUGACUUGCUUGGAUAAAAUGCAUGUUGUGUGCUAUAUCUCUAUACUAACUUUGAUGUCUUGUGAUAGCGCUUGAAAAGUCGUUCAGGUACGUACUUCGAUUUUCUCUCAUGGUUUGUUUUCUUAUUAGGCAUGCAAUAUUUGAAAUCACCUAGUCUACUUAGGUAUCCAUGAUCAACCAUUUAAUUGCCACGCUUCCCUUAACUUAGUCAGUAGAGACCUUUUUAGGGCUUAGAGGGGUGCUACCUUCUAGAGGUACCUUCCCAAUAAGUAACCUGAUCCCCAGACUUAGACUCGGGUUUCUCAAAGACAUGCUUUUUCCAAAACUAUGGAGUCACUUUUUAGGGUUUUUCUUUCUUGUUUUAUUUUCCCUUCAAAAUAAAAAUAAAAUAGGUGACGACUCCAACUUUUUUUUUUUCAAAAAUCAAUUUUUCACAAAUAAAAAAGCGAGUCUCGCCGAUCGAGUGGGGGCGCACAUGAAAACUGCGGGUCCACACCCACCAAAACCCAAUUUAUUCCUGCAUGAAUUAAUUCCGUAAAUUCCAUCACUUGGAAUUACAUAAUUUAAUUCACACUUAUUUUUAAAACGUUUUAGAAAUCAUGGAAGUUAUGGAAAUACCUGCCGAAGAAAAUGGCAACAAAAUUUUAUUAAAAAUGUGAUUUUUGGGACUUGAAAGCUCUAAGGAUGAAGAAUCUGGAAAAUAAUGCGAAAAAAAUGAGAUUUGGAAAAAAAUAUUUUUUUAAACCAAGAAUGGUGAAAAUGAGAAAAAGAAAAAAGAAAAAAAAAGGAAGUGACAUGUGGCAUAAGGGUGGCCAUGCUAAGGUGGCCAUGCACCAUUCCAAACAAAUCUAACCCCAUUUGCUUUUAUUUGAUCCUGAUCUUAAUCCCAUAUUUUGGAUGGUUCCUUCUGGUCAUGUGGACCAUGUUCUUAGUGAAAAUAGCAUGCUAUUGGGAUAAAACAUUUUAUAACUUUGACAUGUUCAAGAAUAAAAAAAAAAGUCAAUGAUAGGGAAGGAGGACAAGAUGUGUAGCGACCCCAAGUUUAGAGUAGGUUUGGUCCAUAAGAGGUCAUUAGCAAAGAACAUAUUUUCUUCUUGUACUUUCGAAAGUGUUAUAUUUUGAGUAAUGAGAGUAUUUCUUUUCCUUUUUUCUUUUUCUCUAAUACAUUAUUGGUGAUUAUUCUUCGCCAGAAUACCCACAAGGCUAUUAGAUGUUUCAUUGCAAAUAUGGUUUUAUAUGAUAGAAUUAUGAUUGAACUUAUAAAACAUAUUUUCUACAUAUUGUUUAGCUGGGCAUCCCAACUACCUCUCGGUAAUAUCCUCUUAACAUAGGAAGUAUAAACUAAUAGCAAGUGUUAAUCUUUCCCAUUCUUACACAAGAAAGACCCAAGGAGAAGGUAUAUUGAGAAAUUGCAUAUCUAUGUUCCCAAACAAUAGAAAAUUCAAUAUAUGACACUUCACUCUCUACUUUUCUUUCCUACAUUUUCUCAUAACCCAAAUAUGCUCACCUCUCAUUCUAAGAUCCAACCAUUGAAAAACAAUUACAAAAAUCCUAAUAAAAGAGACAGAUCAUACUACAAUUACACUUUCUUACAAGAAAUUGGAGUGUAGAAGGUAUAACAAUUGAGUGAAACAAAUAAAAACCAACCUCCUUUAACACACCUGCUAAUGAAAUACUUAUAGAGACACUAUAAAUUCCUCCAGACUCCAAAAGAUACUGAUCAACAGCCUCGGCACUUGCAGCGACGAGACCAACACCUGAUAUGAUAUAAUGCACGAACUCGACACAGAAUCGGUAAGACUCAGUUAGAUUACAGAAAAAUUUUCAAACAUUCUUUUUUUCUUUCCAAUCAUAAUAAAACAUCAGAAUAUUUUCAAAAAUAAAAAUAAGAGAUUCCCCUUUCAAAAGCAAACACCCAUGAUUUUGAAAUUGGAGCUUUUAACCCAGAAGAUCAAAGAAGACGAAGAAGAAAAAACCCAAUCCCUGACCUGUUCAGAAAUAAGAGGAGAAACCACCGAAUGAUGAAGACAUAAUUUAGGAUUUACUUACCUGAUUUUCCUAAAAAUCGAGAAUCAUCGGAGGGUGGAGGUUUGGUGUCGGCGGUGGUAACUAGUCAAAUGGACUAAAUCUUACAACGGGGACGUCGGCCAGGCAACCCCUCACAGUUAGAUUGCUCCUCCUCCGGGGUCUUUCAUAGUUGCAAAUUUGCAAUUGCAAGUGGUGUCAUUUGUCUGCGGUCUUGACAGAAAAGGUGGUGUGCAAGGUGUGGGAGAUUGGGAGCCCUAAUUGGUAAAGUAAAAAAUGCAUUUUAUAUGGAUUUACAUUGAUGAUAUGAGAUAGGAUUUGAUGGUAAAUUAUUAAAUUAAAUUAAAUGAUUGAGUCCAAAAUGAUAUGGAUGGUAUGAGAUAGGAUUUAAUGAAAAAUUAAAUGUAUUUAUAUGGCAGAUUGAGAAUUAAAUCCCCAAUUCUUAGUAUUAUUAUAAAUAGCUUUGAGUUAAAUGUGAAAUUUUUUUGUUUUAUUAAUUUUUUAAGCUUAUUUAAUUUCUAUCUUUUUUUUUAUAUAUAAUUUACAUAACAUUUUUAUAAUUUUAUGAAAUUUCUAAUUAUCUUAUUUUGUGUAAUGCUUGAUACCGAAUCGAGAUGUCAAGACCAACAUGUCUCGGGAUCAUCUGAGUCAAUGAUCGAUAUCGCGACUUUGAACCAUACUCGUCUCCAAUCCCUCAACAAUGAUGAAAAAUGAGGCCAACGUAGUUGCCUUUUUUAUUAUUAUCAGUUAAAAAUAAUGAAUCUAUAUCCAUGUAUUAUCAAGAAUAAAUAAGUUUAUAUUUAUAAAUUUUUAUUAUAAAUUUAUAUUUACACAUAUCCUUGAUUUUCCUCAAGGUUUUAUUUUUAAUUGAUUACAAAGCAUUAGUACUUAUUUAAUUUAAAAUGUAUUAAAUAAAUAUUAAUAUUAUAUAAAUAAAUAAAAGUUGAAUUUGAAUAAAAAAUUUAUAUAUAUAUAUAUAUAUAUAUAUAUAUAUAUAUAUAUAUAUAUAUAUAUAUAUAUAUAUAUAUAUAUAUAUAUCAUAUUCUACAUGAAUAUGAAUCUAUUAUUAAAGAUACAUGGUAAUAAGUGUUAAUAUUAUAUAAUCAAAUGAGAGAGUACAAAAAUGUUCUAUUAAUAACAAUACAUUAUUAUAAUAAUAAGAUACUUAAUAUCAUGUAAAUAAAUAAAAGUCGUCAUAAAUUUAAAUUUGAAUUUAUAUUUUAAAACCCAUCACAUUUAUUUUUAUUUUUUUAAAAUUUUAAGAAUUUUUUCUCCACUUCAAAUAGCAAUAAUAGUGUUUAUUCAUACUAAUUAUACUUAAAAUUGAUGAAAAUUAUGAAAAAAGAAAAAGAAGUAAAAACCCAUACCCUUCAAAUUUAUAUUUGUUUUAAUUUUAAAAUUUUUUUCUCUACUUCAAGUAAUAAUAAUAAUAAUGUUUAUUCAUACUAAUAACAAUAAAAUUAAUGAAAAUGAUGAAAAAAAAAAUAGUAAAAACUUCAAAUUUGUAAUAAUAAUAAUAUUUAUUCAUACUAAUAAACAAUUCUUCAUAAUCAUAACCUACUAAUUUCCAACAAUUAUAAUUGAAAUUAUUUUGAAUAAACAAUGUAAUUUGUAUUUGAAGUUGAAAAAAAUUGUGAAAAUUAAAUGGGCAGGGUAGGGCUUUAAUUUUUUUUAUUUUGUUUUAAAUUUUUCCCUCAUAAAUUUAAUUUAAUUUAAUUUUUUUUUUAUGAAUUCUCAGUGAAAUUAUUAUGAAUCAACAAUUUUAUUGACAUUUAAAGUUUUAAAAAAAAAUCUAUGAAUUUUAAAUAAAUUUUGGAAGGUAUUUGUAAUGGGGUAUUUUUAUUUGCACUUUCCUAUUAUGUUGAAACAUUGUUUGGUUUCAACAUUGUUUAUUCAAAAUAAUUUCAAUUAUAAUUAUUGGAAAUUAGGAGGUUAUGAUUAUGAGGAAUUGUUUAUUAGUAUGAAUAAACAUUAUUAUUAUUAUUUGAAGCAGAGAAAAAAUUCAUAAUGCAUAGGGAGACCACAGAUUCUAUGGAUUCAACAAUUGAUAAGCCUACUUGUUUAUGGUAUUGUCCCUAACCAGCUAUUCCAUUUUUGAAUUUACUUUUGGUGCAUUUAGUUUGUAACUUGUCUUAUGUUUUACUUAUUUUCAAUUUUUUUUUAAGGUUUAGAUAGUUUUUUUUUUUUUUUAUUUAGAAAAAAAACCUCUUUUGAGCCAUAACUUGAUUCUCUUGCUAUUCUUAUUUUUAACCAUUUUUUCAAUGAGAAAUUAGGUCUUUUUGGCGGAAUUGUAGGAAGUGGAUUGAAUCGAAAAAUUUAUUUGGGCCAGAUUGUGUUUCACUAGAGUCCUGAGAGAUGCAGCUUAGUGAGCUUAUAAUAAAAAGAUAGGCAUUUAAACGGACCAUACUAGUCUGAGUCAUUCUUAGUUUGGCCUAGUGGGCCUUCAGAAUUGCUCCAACAUGAAUUUCAACGUCAACUUCAAUUUUUAAAAUUAAUAAUUAUACAUUUGUUUUAACUAUUUAUAACAAAUAUUAUCUUUGAAAAGUAAAUUUCAAUUAAUUUUUAUAUUUAAAUAAAAAUUAUUAUUAUUUUAAUUAUUUGUAUCCAAAUCAUACUCAAUAUAUUUGAUUUAUCUUACAAUGUUUCAACAUAAUAGGAAAGUGCAAAUAAAAAUACCCCAUUACAAAUACCUUCCAAAAUUUAUUUAAAAUUCAUAGAUUUUUUUUUUUUUUUUUACUUUAAAUAUCAAAAAAAUUGUUGAUUCAUAAUAAUUUCACUUAGAAUUCAUAAAAAAAUAGGAGGAAAAAAAAUUAAAAUAAAAAAUUUUAAGAUCCCUACCCUUCCCAUUUAAUUUUAACAAUUUUUUUUUUCUGAGCAUUGAUUUGUUGAUCGGUUAUCAAGGGCCACUCAUUUGCUUUGUUGGAUCUAACUCUUUAUAAGCAUGCUCUGUUUUGGCUUCGUUUUUUUUAUCUUUGCUUUCUCUUGUAAAUAUCUGAUGCAUUGUUCCUUCUCUGAACUUGAGAUAUAAAAACCAUGCUCUUGUUCCUUGUGGAUUCCACCUGCUCCUAGCUCUUUGACAAUCCAUGAAAUAGAGCUAAGUUCAUACUCUAUUUUUAUGUUUUUAUUAUUCUUUGUUUGUUGUUGAUGGUGGGAUGAUAUUAUCAAUGGCCAAGUUGCUGGGAUUGGAGGAGUGAGGUUAUGGGGAAGUGAACUUAAUGGAGGAUUUUUGUGAUCAUAUCUAUGCUCCAAUCUAUUGGUUCAAAAUGUUGGCCACGAGACUGCAUUGAAGUUUUGGUAUUUGGCAUCACUUUGCCAUCUGGGUUCAGUAAGCAACACAGUGGCAAUAAAGAUGCAUUGGUGUUAUUAAUUUGGGUGAAUAAGUUGGUUGUAUGAAUUGUGAAAGUUCAAGUUGUGCUUUGAGGAGAGUAUAUCUUGCAUCCUACUAUUUUAAUUAUUAAUUUUGGAUGUUGAAAUAUGAUGUGAUCGCACUUCAUAUGCAUCAUGGUUGUGUGAGGAAAAAAAAAGAUUAAAGAAAUGGUUGUGUGAAAUGGAAAUAAGAAUGAAAAGACCCUGGAUAGGGCAAAAAUGAAAAGAAAAGAAAAGAAAAAAAAAUGAAAUGAUCCUAGAGAGGGCGAAUUAAGAAGGAAGUGAGAUCUCUAAGGUGAAAGACCCAAAAGUUUACUUCGGGAAGACUCCAAAUGGGGAGUAUAUUUAGGUAUAGACGUGUAUCCUUUGGUGAAAGUUUGAGAACCACAAUGCAUUGUGUGAUUGCGUGUAAGCAUUUGCAUCAUAAUUGCAUUUGGAAGAAGGAUUUGUAUUAUUUAUCAAGUGUAUGUUUGAAUAUAUUAUUCAAAACUAAAUGACUUGUUUAUUUUCUAAAUUUAGAAUUGUUGAUAUACUAAACAUAUGAUUGAAUAAGGAAAAUGAUAAUUUUGAUUGUUUUAAAUUUGUAUGGUUGAGGUUUCUUUUAGUGUAUAUAUUGUAAAUGUAAUAUUAUAUCUUGACAUAUGAUUGUGUUAUUGACCUAGAAUUUCUAACCUAUUUGGGUGUAAAACACCCUACUAAGCAACGUGAAAAUACUCACCCCUUUAUUUUCUAAAAUUUUUAGAUGUAGAUAUAGUUUCAGAGGGGCCACAAGAAGUUCAAGAAGCGUUCUAGAAAGCAAAAGAACUAUAAUAAUAGUUGUUUUUAAAUUUAUAUUUCUCCUUUUACAUGUACCAAUUUGAAUUAUAUGGGCUUUUGUAUGUUAAAUUAUAUUUUGUUAGAUUGUAAAACAUUUUUGAAAAUAUUUUUUUUGACUUAGAGAUUAUUGUAAAUAUUUGAGCUUUUGGGCAAAAAGAUGACUGGUGGAUUUAUUAUACUUGUGAAUAAGAGAUAAUGUGAUGGUUGGUUUUAGAAAAAUAAAAUAUUACAGUAAAUCUUAACUUAAUAAAUUUAUUUAAAAUUAGACGUUUUAUUAUUUAAAAAAAAAAAGUUUCAAAGUGUUUUGAUUGAUUGUUAGUGUGGAUAGGAAUAACCCUUAGGGUCAAACCCUUGGGCCGACUAUGUAGGUGAAUACCCAAUUGUACCCACAUGAAUCAGCCGUCAAUCUUACAAAUCCAAGGGCAAAGUAGUCAUUCCAAUUCAAACCAAACCAAGCCAUGAUUCAUGAAAACUGCUGGCCACAGCUCCUGGUUUUUCCCAAACUUUGGGCACCAAAUCCAAACCCAUCUCUUGCUAUAUAACCAACCCACCUUCACCUCAUCUUCUUCAUCACAACACAACUACCUUGAUUUAUAGAGAGAUCUUCUAUAUCCAUUCACUACUCAGAAUCACCUCUUUCUAUUGUUGAUUGUUGUUUGGGUUUCGGAGAAAGAAAAUUAAGAAGAUGAGUCAUAUGGGGAAAGCUUGGUUAGUGGCAGCAAGUGUGGGAGCAGUGGAGGCACUCAAGGAUCAGGGCUUCUGCAGAUGGAACUACACUCUGAGGUCUAUUCACCAGCAUGCCAAGACCAACCUCAGGUCCUUUGCUCAGGCCAAGAAGCUCUCUUCUUCCUCUUCCGCCAUGGUUUCCAGCAGAGUGAGAGAGGAGAAGGCCAAGCAGUCAGAGGAGUCUCUGAGGACUGUCAUGUACUUGAGCUGCUGGGGACCCAACUGAAGAAGAAGAUAUGAAGAUGGAUGAUCAUCAGCCUGCUCUUGAAGCAUCCAGGGAGGGCAUAUUCCAAGAAAGUAACGGAAAAUUGAGAUGAAGAAGCUGCAGUGAAGCAAUUUCAUGGAAUUUUUGCUUGGAGACUCACGAAUUACAACCAAUUGCUCAGGGUUGGGAAAAUUGGAAUUGGUGUAAAUUGUGACUGGGUCUUUGUAAAACCCACAUCAUUUAGCUAGAAAAGCUUUGAAAAUACAUUUUAAUUUAAUUUAUAAUUUCUAUGUUAGAAUAUUAGAUCCAAUUCCUAAAAAGCUUAUCAGCCUUGUAUAUAUGGCUAAGCAGGUCAACUUCCCAAGCUCAAGCGCAUUAAGAAAUUCUCAGACCUACCUUUUUUUUAUAGAAUUUUUGGGAAGUUUUACAGCAAUUGAAAACAAAUCUUAAAAGGGUCGGGAAAUUAUUUGAAAAAAUAUGGCAGAUUUGGUCACAUAGGUGAUAAAGAGGUGAUAAAGUUGGUACAACGCCCAAAAUUAAACUCUCAAUUAAUUUAAUUGAACAAAUAAUCAUAAAAGAGAUUUUUUUAAUUUAUGAUUUUUAUUUUUUUAUUUAUACUUUUUGAAAAAGAAAAUUCCAGUGAAAUAUGUUCGUGUAGACUGUGUGGCAGGAUGCAGACUAAACAAAGAAAUUGACACGUGCUUGAAGUCCGGCCCUACACAUAGCCCCAUUGGAAAACAGCGGUUUCAUCCUCCGUACUCUUUGGGCGUUAAGUGGGUUCACAAACCAAACAAUGGGCUGCCCCAACACAGCAACACUUAGACUGAGGACAAACUAUGUAGGUGAAUACCCAAUUAUACCCACAUGAAUCAGUGGUCAAUCUUUCAAAUCUAAGGACAGAGUAGUCAUUCCAAUUCAAACCAAACAAAGCUAUGAGAACUGCUGGCCACAGCCUCUGGUUUCCCCAAAACUUUGGGCAGUAUUCCUCAAAGAAUCAAGUGGGCUAGAGUUAAUAACUACGUCCACCAUGGUUAGAUUAUUGGGGGCUAGAGUUAAUAACUUCAUCGACCAUGGUUAGAUUAUUGGUAUCUCGAUGGGAGAAGUUGUUUUGAUGGAAAAACAUUGUAUUUUAUUAUUUUGUAAAUUUUAUCAUCACUCAUAUAUAUUAUUUUUUAUUUAAAAUUAAAUAAAAAAUUAAAAUUCUUAGAAAAUACGAAAAGAAAGUAUAUCACAAUCUUUAUUUUCUAUUCUAAAAUUAAAAAAUAAAAAUAAAAUUAUGAAGAAAAAAGUACAUUCCAACUUACAUUAAUUAAGGGAUGAUAUACUGUGUAAAUAAAAAAUAUAAAAAAUAAUUAAAGGUUAAAUAAAUCACUUAAUAAAUCGGUAGUAUGGGUUGAUGGUUUCAUUAUUAGACUAUAACAAGGAUUUUCUUUUUCUUUUUCUUUUUAAAUGCAUUUCAUGGUGGUGUAGAAUUUUUUUGUAUAAGGGUUUUUAAAUUGUAAUAUAGAUUAUACAUAUAGUUGUGUUUUGUCCUAAAUUCUGACUUCCAAGUUUUCAACAUUAUAUAAAAAUUCCUAAAAUCACCUACUUCGUAGGUUUUAUAACAUUAUAUAAAAAGCCAUGAAUUCACCUAUUAGAAAAAUGUUAUUUGGUGCGCUAUCAUUACCAUGACCUCAAUCUCGUGCAAAGAUACCGAGUGGUUACAAAUAGUAAAAAAUAAAUAAUAAAAACAAAAUAUAUUCAUUAUUAUUAUUAUUAUUUUGUUCUUUUAUCAUCCAUUAUUCACAUCUUAGCAUAUGAUAGAAAAGAUGAUAAAAGAUUAUUUAUGUUAUAUGAUUUUAAGUGAAAUGAUCAAAAUAUUUAAAGAAAAAAUUAAUAAUUCAUGAAGAAUUUUUGGUAAAUUUAUAAAUUUGUAAUAAAUAUUGAUAAAUGAUAAACAAAGUAGUUUUUAAAGUGGUUGCAGCAGUUAAACAUUGUAUCUUAUUAUGAUUUUCCACCCUCAAAACUUAAUAAUAAAAUUUCAUAACAAAUUUUUAUCUAUUUGAAACUUUUGAAAUGUGAAAUCUUUUCUUGGACAUUUUUAUAUAUACAUUUGUGAAUUUUAUCUUUAUUUUUUAUUUAUAAAAUUAAAGGAUAAAAUUAAAAUGUUAAAAAUAAAAGAGAAGUAUAUCCCAACUUGCAUCAAUUAAGAGAAGAUAUAUUAAGCAUGUGAAGAAUGCAAAAAAAAUUAAUGAUAAAAUAAAUCACUUAGUAGAUAGUAUUUAAUGAUUUACAUUAUUAGAUUGUAGCAAUGAGUUAUAUUUUUAUUUUUGUGUAUAGGGGAUUUUAAAUUAUAAUAUAUAUUUUUUUAUUUUUGAGUUAGUUUUCUUUGUUGAUACAUAGUUUUUUUUUUGUCUUGGAUAUUGUGUUAUCAACAGUUUUAAAAGAAAUAAAAAUUAUUUAUCCCACAUCGAUUCAAAACUAAAAAUAUUAUAUAUAUUUAUUAAAACUUUGAUACUCUUAAAAAAUACAAGUACAACCAAUAAGCAAGCAUAGGGAUGGCAACGGGGUGGGUAUGGGACAUGCCACCCCUACCCCAUUUCCAUCCCGGUUAUAUAUUUUUUUGCCCAUCCUUGUCCCAAACUCGGGGCGGGGCGAGUUGGUGUCCCCCUUACCUAUUUACAAAAGAACUGAUAAUCUCAUCUCCGUCCCAAAUGUAUUUUCGGGAAUUAUGCUUUUACAAAACAUAGGUCUCUGAAAUUUCAAUAUAUGUUAUAUGGGUUAUCAUAAACACAUUUAAUCAAGCAUUUGUUGUGCAACAAAACUGCAAAUUACACAUAUGAGAACAAAAUGCACAGAUCUACAAAUAAACAACCCAAAAAAUCUCAAAUCCAUAAACCAAAACCAGAAAAUAUGAAAAACAAGACAUUCUAACAAAGCCUCAAAACAUAGUAUUUAAUGAUUUACAUUAUUAGAUUGUAGCAAUGAGUUAUAUUUUUAUUUUUGUGUAUAGGGGAUUUUAAAUUAUAAUAUAUAUUUUUUUAUUUUUGAGUUAGUUUUCUUUGUUGAUACAUAGUUUUUUUUUUGUCUUGGAUAUUGUGUUAUCAACAGUUUUAAAAGAAAUAAAAAUUAUUUAUCCCACAUCGAUUCAAAACUAAAAAUAUUAUAUAUAUUUAUUAAAACUUUGAUACCCUUAAAAAAUACAAGUACAACCAAUAAGCAAGCAUAGGGAUGGCAACGGGGUGGGUAUGGGACAUGCCACCCCUACCCCAUUUCCAUCUCGGUUAUAUAUUUUUUUGCCCAUCCUUGUCCCAAACUCGGGGCAGGGCGAGUUGGUGUCCCCUUUACAUGUUUACAAAAGAACUGAUAAUCUCAUCCCCGUCCCAAAUGUAUUUUCGGGAAUUAUGCUUUUACAGAACAUAGGUCUCUGAAAUUUCAAUAUACGUUAUAUGGGUUAUCAUAAACACAUUUAAUCAAGCAUUUGUUGUGCAACAAAACUGCAAAUUACACAUAUGAGAACAAAAUGCACAGAUCUACAAAUAAACAACCCAAAAAAUCUCAAAUCCAUAAACCAAAACCAGAAAAUAUGAAAAACAAGACAUUCUAACAAAGCCUCAAAACUUAGGGUUUUCUUACCUGGAAAUGAGGAAUCCAUAGAAACCCUAAUAAUUUGUUGUCUACGAAUUUGGUUUUUGGUUUUUAGAGCAAAAAUUGUGCUUUUAGGGUGAAAUGGGAAGAAGCAAUUUAGGAAUAAAUGAGAAAACGGGAAGAAAUGAGAAAAUGAAAGGCCUCUUACAAGCAAAAGAACCCUGAGCAAUUUAGGAAGAAAUGAGAAAACGGGAAGAAAUGAGAGCGAAAGCCCUCUAAUUCUCUCACGAGCGAAAUAACCCUAAAACUUGAGGAAGAAAUGAUUAUAUACGGAGAACUUUUUGGGUAUUUUGUAAUGAUAUAAGGGUAAAUUGGUAAUUCACAUACGGGACGGGGUAGAAACUGCAAAACCCAUCCCUGCCUUAAACCCGAUUCGGGUUUUUAUAUAUUCCCCAAACCCGUUUUAUACCCGAAUAGAAUAUUCUCAUACCCGUCCCAAUAGGGAUGGGGCGGGUGACCCGGAUUACCCAGAAAAUUGUAGUUCCUAAGCAAGCAUUGAGCUAAAUCCUAAUCUCACAUUCCUGCUCGAAACUUUACACUCACAUAAAAACAACUCACCACUUGACUCGAUGGACUAUUCCGUAACUUCUCACUACCAACAACCAGGCACUAUUCAACCUCUCGCUCACUUAUAAAUUCACUCCCUACCUGCAUAUUCAAAACAUAUCUUACUACUAUUCUACUCUACUAUUCUACUUUUCGUGGUUUCAUAUCUCACUAUUAUUCUACUUUUCGCGGUUUCAUAUCUCACUACUAUUCGCGUGUUCAAAGUGUGCAUAUUCAAAGUGUAUCCCUCCUUGAAUUAAUUGUGAAUUAAUUUAGGCUUCAAAGUGUGUUGCUCUACAACAUCCCUCCUAGUCAGGCCUCAAAGUAAGAACAACAACAUCUACAAUAUCUGCCAUGGCCACACAACCAAGGCAUGUGGUAUGCCUCAUUUUCUCAUGUCCUUUUCCCAUUUUGUUCCCUCUUUUCAUCUCCAUUUUGUUUUCAAUAUUCCCUUACCUUACUCAUAUUCUCUAAAAUUAGAUAAAAUUAUUAAUUUGAUCAUAUUUAUCUAACAUUUUUAAUUAGUACUACUAGUAUCUUAUUUUCAUAAAUCUAAUUGAAUUUCCUACUUAUUUAUUUAUUGUUUUCAUGACAAAAAUUCAUCAGCUUUCAUAUCUUUCCUUACAAUUCUGAGUUCAACUGUCCUUGCGAAAUACCAAUAUGAGAAUGUUUCCCCAUUUGCCCAACACAACAUAGGUAUGCAAAUCUCCUUAUUUGCAUCAUUUAUAUAUUUCAUGAUGGUUGUGGCUUAUGAAAUCCUUGAUUCUAAUGGAACUAUCAAAAUUGAAGAAGAUGGAAGAUAUCUCCUUAUUUUGGGUCAUGUUUAGUUCUUAAGUGGAACAGCAGCUGCAACUUUGUUGAUCCUGAUCUUGAUCCCAUAUUUUGGAUGGUUCUUUCUGAUCAUGUGGACCAUGUUCUUAGUGAAAAUAGCAUGCUAUUGGGAUAAAACAUUUUAUAACUUUGACAUGUUCAAGAAUAAAAAAAAAUGCCAAUGAUAAGGAAUGAGGACAAGAGGAGCAACGACCCCAAGUUUAGAGUAGGUUUGGUCUAUAAGAGGUUAUUAGCAAAAAACAUAUUUUCUUCUUGUACUUUUGAAAGUGUUAUAUAAGUGUCAUAUUUUGAGUAAUGAGAGUAUUUUUUUUUCCUUUUUUCUUUUUCUCUAAUACAUUAUUGUUGAUUAUUCUUCGCUGGAAUACCCACAAGGCUAUUAGAUGUUUCAUUGCAAAUAUGGUUUUAUAUGAUAGCAUUACGAUUGAACUUAUAAAACAUAUUUUCUACAUAUUGUUUAGCUGGGCCUCCCAACUACCUCUCGGUAAUAUCCUCUUAACAUAGGAAGUAUAAACUAAUAGCAAGUGCUAAUCUUUCCCAUUCUUACACAAGAAAGACCCAAGGAGAAGGUAUAUUUAGAAAUUGCAUAUCUAUGUUCCCAAACAAUAGAAAAUUCAAUAUAUGGCACUUCACUCUCUACUUUUCUUUCCCACAUUUUCUCAUAACCCAAAUAUGCUCACCUCUCAUUCUAAGAUCCAACCAUUGAAAAACAAUUACAAAAAUCCUAAUAAAAGAGAUAGAUCAUACUACAAUUACACUUUCUUACAAGAAAUUGAAGUGUAGAAGGUAUAACAAUUGAGUGAAACAAAUAAAAACCAACCUCCUUUAACACACCUGCUAAUGAAAUACUUGUAGAGACACUAUAAAUCCCUCCAGACUCCAAAAGAUACUGAUCAACAGCCUCGGCACUUGCAGCGACGAGACCAAUCCUUGGUACGAUAUAAUGCACGAACUCGACACGGAAUCGGUAAGACUCAGUUAGAUUACAGAAAAAUUUUCAAACAUUCUUUUUUUCUUUCCAAUCAUAAUAAAACAUUAGAAUAUUUUCCAAAAGCAAACACCCAUGAUUUUGAAAUUGGAGCUUUUAAACCAGAAGAUCAAAGAAGACGAAGAAGAAAAAACCCAACCCCUGACCCGUUCAGAAAUAAGAGGAGAAACCACCGAAUGAUGAAGGCAUGAUUUAGGAUUUACUUACUUGAUUUUCCUAAAAAUCGAGAAUCACCAGAGGGUGGAGGUUUGGUGUCGGCGGUGGUAACUUGUCAAGUGGACUAAAUCUUGCAACGAGGACGUCAGCCAGGCAACCCUCACAGUCAGAUUGCUCCCCCUCCGGGGUCUUUCAUAGUUGUAAAUUUGCAAUUGCAAGUGGUGUCAUUUGUCGGCGGUCUUGACAGCAAAGGUGGUAUGCAAGGUGUGGGAGAUUGGGAGCCCUAAUUGGUAAAGUAAAAAAUGCAUUUUAUAUGGAUUUACAUUGAUGAUAUGAGAUAGGAUUUGAUGGUAACUUAUUAAAUUAAAUUAAAUGAUUGAGUCUAAAAUGAUAUGGAUGGUAUGAGAUAGGAUUUAAUGAAAAAUUAAAUGUAUUUAUAUGGCAGAUUGAGAAUUAAAUCUCCAAUUCUUAGUAUUAUUAUAAAUAGCUUUGAGUUAAAUGUGAAAUUUUUUUGUUUUAUUAAUUUUUUAAGCUUAUUUAAUUUCUAUCUAUUUUUUUUAUAUAAUUUACAUAACAUUUUUAUAAUUUUAUGAAAUUUCUAAUUAUCUUAUUUUGCGUAAUGCUUGAUACUGAAUCGAGAUGUCAAGACCAACAUGUCUCGGGAUCAUCUGAGUCAAUGAUCGAUAUCGCGACUUUGAACCAUACUCGUCUCCAAUCCCUCAACAAUGAUGAAAAAUGAGGCCAACGUAGUUGCCUUUUUUAUUAUUAUCAGUUAAAAAUAAUGAAUCUAAAUUCAUGUAUUAUCAAGAAUAAAUAAGUUUAUAUUUAUAAAUUUUUAUUAUAAAUUUAUAUUUACACAUAUCCUUGAUUUUCCUCAAGGUUUUAUUUUUAAUUGAUUACAAAGCAUUAGUACUUAUUUAAUUUAAAAUGUAUUAAAUAAAUAUUAAUAUUAUAUAAAUAAAUAAAAGUUGAAUUUGAAUAAAAAAUUUAUAUAUAUAUAUCAUAUUCUUCAUGAAUAUGAAUCUAUUAUUAAAGAUACAUGGUAAUAAGUGUUAAUAUUAUAUAAUCAAAUGAGAGAGUACAAAAAUGUUCUAUUAUUAGCAAUACAUUAUUAUAAUAAUAAGAUACUUAAUAUAAUGUAAAUAAAUAAAAGUCGUCAUAAAUUUAAAUUUGAAUUUAUAUUUUAAAACCCAUCACAUUUAUUUUUAUUUUUUUAAAAUUUUAAGAAUUUUUUCUCCACUUCAAAUAGCAAUAAUAGUGUUUAUUCAUACUAAUUAUACUUAAAAUUGAUGAAAAUUAUGAAAAAAAAAACCCAUACCCUUCAAAUUUAUAUUUGUUUUAAUUUUAAAUUUUUUUUCUCUACUUCAAGUAAUAAUAAUAAUAAUGUUUAUUCAUACUAAUAACAAUAAAAUUAAUGAAAAUGAUGAAAAAUAAAAAAUUGUUUGGUUUCAACAUUGUUUAUUCAAAAUAAUUUUUUUUAUUUGCACUUUCCUACUAGGCCAAACUAAGAAUGACUCAGACCAGUAUGGUCCGUUUAAAUGCCUAUCUUUUUAUUAUAAGCUCACUAAGCUGCAUCUCUCAAGACUCUAGUGAAACACAAUCUGGCCCAAAUAAAUUUUCCGAUUCAAUCCACUUCCUACAAUUCCGCCAAAAAGACCUAAUUUCUCAUUGAAAAAAUGGUUAAAAAUAAGAAUAGCAAGAGAAUCAAGUUAUGGCUCAAAAAAGGUUUUUUUUUUUUCUUAAAAAAAAAAAAAAAAACUAUCUAAACCUUAAAAAAAUUGAAAAUAAGUAAAACAUAAGAUAAGUUACAAACUAAAUGCACCAAAAGUAAAUUCAAAAAUGGAAUAGCUGGUUAGGGACAAUACUAUAAACAAGUAGGCUUAUCAAUUGUUGAAUCCAUAGAAUCUGUGGUCUCCCUAUGCAUUAUGAAUUUUUUCUUUGCUUCAAAUAAUAAUAAUAAUAAUAAUAAUAAUGUUUAUUCAUACUAAUAAACAAUUCUUCAUAAUCAUAACCUCCUAAUUUCCAAUAAUUAUAAUUGAAAUUAUUUUAAAUAAACAAUGUUGAAACCAAACAAUGUUUCAACAUAAUAGGAAAGUGCAAAUAAAAAUACCCCAUUACAAAUACCUUCCAAAAUUUAUUUAAAAUUCAUAGAUUUUUUUUUUUACUUUAAAUAUCAAAAAAAUUAUUGAUUCAUAAUAAUUUCACUUAGAAUUCAUAAAAAAAUAUGAGGAAAAAAAAUUAAAAUAAAAAAUUUUAAGAUCCCUACCCUUCCCAUUUAAUUUUAACAAUUUUUUUCUGAGCAUUGAUUUGUUGAUCGGUUAUCAAGGGCCACUCAUUUGCUUUGUUGGAUCUAACUCUCUAUAAGCAUGCUUUGUUUUGGCUUCGUUUUUUUUAUCUUUGCUUUCUCUUGUAAAUAUCUGAUGCAUUGUUCCCUCUUUGAACUUGAGAUAUAAAAACCAUGCUCUUGUUCCUUGUGGAUUCCACCUGCUCCUAGCUCUUUGAUAAUCCAUGAAAUAGAGCUAAGUUCAUACUCUAUUUUUAUGUUUUUAUUAUUCUUUGUUUGUUGUUGAUGGUGGGAUGAUAUUAUCAAUGGCCAAGUUGCUGGGAUUGGAGGAGUGAGGUUAUGGGGAAGUGAACUUAAUGGAGGAUUUCUGUGAUCAUAUCUAUGCUCCAAUCUAUUGGUUCCAAAUGUUGGUCACGAGACUGCAUUGAAGUUUUGGUAUUUGGGAUCACUUUGCCAUCUGGGUUUAGUAAGCAACACAGUGGCAAUAAAGAUGCAUUGGUGUUAUUAAUUUGGGUGAAUAAGUUGGUUGUAUGAAUUGUGAAAGUUCAGGUUGUGCUUUGAGGAGAGUAUAUCUUGCAUCCUACUAUUUUAAUUAUUAAUUUUGGAUGUUGAAAUAUGAUGUGAUUGCACUUCAUAUGCAUCAUGGUUGUGUGAGGAAAAAGAAAUAUUAAAGAAAUGGUUGUGUGAAAUGGAAAUAAGAAUGAAAAGACCCUGGAUAGGGCAAAAAUGAAAAGAAAAGAAAAAAAAAAUGAAAUGAUCCUAGAGAGGGCGAAUUAAGAAGGAAGUGAGAUCUCUAAGCUGAAAGACCCAAAAGUUUACUUCGAGAAGACUCCGAAUGGGGAGUAUAUUUAGGUAUAGACGUGUAUCCUUUGGUGAAAGCUUGAGAACCACAGUGCAUUGUGUGAUUGCGUGUAACCAUUUGCAUCAUAAUUGUAUUUGGAAGAAGGAUUUGUAUUAUUUAUCAAGUGUAUGUUUGAAUAUAUUAUUCAAAACUAAAAUGACUUGUUUAUUUUGUAAAUUUAGAAUUGUUGAUAUACUAAACAUAUGAUUGAAUAAGGAAAAUGAUAAUUUUGAUUGUUUUAAAUUUGUAUGGUUGGGGUUUCUUUUAGUGUAUAUAUUGUAAAUGUAAUAUUAUAUCUUGACAUAUGGUUGUGUUAUUGACUUAGAAUUUCUAACCUAUUUGGGUGUAAAACACCCUACUAAGCAACGUGAAAAUGCUCACCCCUUUAUUUUCUAAAAUUUUUAGAUGCAGAUAUAGUUUCAGAGGGGCCGCAAGAAGUUCAAGAAGCGUUCUAGAAAGCAAAAGAACUAUAAUAAUAGUUGUUUUUAAAUUUAUAUUUAUCCUUUUACAUGUACCAAUUUGAAUUAUAUGGGCUUUUGUAUGUUAAAUUAUAUUUUGUUAGAUUGUAAAACAUUUUUGGAAAUAUUUUUUUUGACUUAGAGAUUAUUAUAAAUAUUUGAGCUUUUGGACAGAAAGAUGACUGGUGGAUUUAUUAUACUUGUGAAUAAGAGAUAGUGUGAUGGUUGGUUUUAGAAAAAUAAAAUAUUAUAAUAAAUCUUAACUUAAUAAAUUUAUUUAAGAUUAGACGUUUUAUUAUUUAAAAAAAAAAAGUUUCAGAGUUUUUUGAUUGAUUGUCAGUGUGGAUAGGAGUAAUCCUUAGGGUCAAACCCUUGGCCGACUAUGUAGGUGAAUACCCAAUUAUACCCACAUGAAUCAGCCGUCAAUCUUACAAAUCCAAGGGCAAAGUAGUCAUUCCAAUUCAAACAAAACCAAGCCAUGAUUCAUGAAAACUGCUGGCCACAGCUCCUGGUUUUUCCCAAACUUUGGGCACCAAAUCCAAACCCAUCUCUUGCUAUAUAACCAACCCACCUUCACCUCAUCUUCUUCAUCACAACACAACUACCCUGAUUUACAGAGAGAUUUUCUAUAUCCAUUCACUACUCAGAAUCACCUCUUUCUAUUGUUGAUUGUUGUUUGGGUUUCGGAGAAAGAAAAUUAAGAAGAUGAGUCAUGUGGGGAAAGCUUGGUUAGUGGCAGCAAGUGUGGGAGCAGUGGAGGCACUCAAGGAUCAGGGCUUCUGCAGAUGGAACUACACUCUGAGGUCUAUUCACCAGCAUGCCAAGACCAACCUCAGGUCCUUUGCUCAGGCCAAGAAGCUCUCUUCUUCCUCUUCCGCCAUGGUUUCCAGCAGAGUGAGAGAGGAGAAGGCCAAGCAGUCAGAGGAGUCUCUGAGGACUGUCAUGUACUUGAGCUGCUGGGGACCCAACUGAAGAAGAAGAUAUGAAGAUGGAUGAUCAUCAGCCUGCUCUUGAAGCAUCCAGGGAGGGCAUAUUCCAAGAAAGUAACGGAAAAUUGAGAU